rnacentral:lncRNA from 1 species
UCGCCUGCUGUUGCGGCAAAGCAUCAGGCGGUUACUAUCUCCUUAAUGAAAGGCUCUUCGUUUGGGCAAAUUUUUCCGCAUACACACUGGUCGUUAAAUGCUGAGCAACAUCCUCCUGGAUAAUUCUGAAGCUUGCAGUAUUGUUUACAAAGAUUCACGUCACAAUGUCGACCUUGAGGAUCCUCCACAAGAGGACGACUCGUAAUACGUGGACAAGCUGCUGUGCAACGACACGGACCAGAUAGUCCUGCGCAGCAUGCUGGCUUACCAAAAAGUGAGCAAUAUUUUCUACAAAGAUCCCAGUUACAUCGUUUAGCAUCCACCACAAGAGGACCGCUCAUAUCUGUUUAAAACAAGGAAAGAGUAUACACAAACACAGUUUAAUAUAUAAUACAGUCCAAAGUAAACAAAUACGAAUGCUUUGCUAGCUUGCUAUGAAAAUUAAAGUUGUUCUGAUUAUUUCAAAUUUGGUAAAUUAACAUGUAUAUAGUAUGUAACAAGCUAUGGAGUUGAAUAAAUUACGAACCAGUGGACUGGGAGACCAACAGCAGGAGGGACACUAUUGCAAAUGACCUCACAGAGAACUCCAUAAUUGAGAAAGAGAGAGAGAUAAUAGGAAGCUUUAGUGAAAUGUGAGUGAAAGACUCCCUGCUUAUAUCUCUUUAUAUAAUGUUUUAAGUGUGCUACCAAAAUUGUUAUAAAAUGUUGGAAAAAUGCUUGUUGUACAUCAUCAUAUUUACAUAAUUUUUUACAGAUUGAUGAUGAGUCAACAAGAAACUGUGGAAUUUUUAAAUUUUUUUUUUUAGUUGAAAGAUUUUGACCCAAUCAAAUCUCGUCGCAUCAUUUGUCUGUAAACAAAUAUGUAAGUUGCGAUAUAUCUAUAGCACAAACAUUUACGUAAAACACAACUUCUUUUAGUGGAGGGUUUGCACAAGAUGUUGACACGUGGACUUGUUGAGGCUUUUAAAUUUGCUUCUGGAUAACUUUGCAUGUGAGUUUCGAGAGAAACUGCUACAGUUUCUUGGUCUCCUUCUUCUUCCUGAAAACCUCACUCGAGAUUCCUAAUAUCCUGCUCCAUCUUUCUGAUUUUCGAUUUCUUACUUGGUGAAGAUGAAUAAGAACUGAGUGUUCUUUGAUUUGUUUUGUUCUAAAAGGGUACUGAUUAGGAUUUGUGGUGUUAUCAGGAAUAGUAAACUUUUUGGAUACUAAAAAAAUAAGUCUCCAUAACUUUAUCUUUUGUAAUUUGAACAUUUUGUAUCAUGAAUAUCAUUUUGAGACUGUUCUACUGUAGGGCAUUAUUCACUUCUGUGGAUGCUUAACAAGGUAAUAGAUAUUGAUGGAAAUCUAAGCAUGUUGAUACAAAGUGUAAGAUUAGGAGAAUGGAAUAAGGAGCGAUAUGCGUUAGAAAGAUGUGUUUUAAGGUGAAUAUGAAGUACUAUUUUAGUAUGGUGUUUUGUAUCAUACCACUUUAGAAAAAUAUAUAUAUAUUGAAAAUAUAUUUUGUAUAAAUAAUCUUUAAUCAUAAUUUUAUUGACAAUAAUUUUAUGUACAAAUACUUUUUUAAUCAGAAAUAAAAAAAAUUUUCACUUAUAAUUAAUUUUUGACUUCUAUGUCAUUAUUUUAUUAUAAGUAAUUGUAUUUUUGUACUUUGAAGUGAAUUUUUUUACUUUUAUCCAAAGACUUUAUCUAUAAGUGAAUUAUUUUUCUCAUCGUAGAUUUUACUUGUUAACGUAAUUAUGCAUAAAUUUUUACUUAUUAGUAAAGUUUUACUGACUACAAAUUAUUUAACAUAAAAGUGGGUGUUUUACAAAAAGGUUAAUUUUUUACUUACGACUGAAUAAUUUUUUAGUUAAUUUUUACUUGUAUAAAAGGUCUUUUCAUGCCAUUGUAUGAUUGAGACAGAUGUAAAAUUUCCAACCACGUGUUAUACAAAUUUUAGAUUAAAUAUUAAGAAUAAAAAUGGUCAUCAUGUCUUUUGUCCAAAUCGAAACACAAAAAUAACGUGAACUAAAUUUAGUAACUAACGAGUAGAUACAAUAGUUUGAAAGGUCUUUUUCAUAUCAUUGCAUAAUUGCGACAAUGUAAAAAUUUUCUAAGCACAUUUUUAUAUCAAAGAGUAUUCUAUAUUAUUUAAAUCGAAUUCGAUAUUUUCUAGAAUUAUUUAUAGUAAUUGCUCCUCCAUAAUUUUUUUCCAAAUCUAAACACGACAUUACGAGUGUACCAAAAUUUUAAUAGGUGAAAUUUGAAGGAUCUAAAUGGGUUGCUCAAAAAGUCAAAGGACUGAAUUGAAGAUGUUGAAAACUUUGAGGACCAGGGAUGAAAAUACCUUGCGAAUGGUGGGUAGGAGGAGUGAAUGUUUCAUAGAACCUGUCAUGUCAUGCCUUGCUGCCCAAUUUCCUAGUGCGAGUUGGAAACAUAAUUUUUAAGGUCUGCGGGUAUUCCAAUCACAUUUUUUUUUCUUUUGCACAUUUUAAAACUUAUUUAAAUAGGACUUCGUAAUAGAUUGGAUGGAUGUAUUCAACUUUUUUCAUCUCCCUAUCAUUAAAACUUUAUAUUUUUAUUAUUGAUUGUGUCCACCUUAACACAGCUAUCUGCAUCAUGUCAAUUCAAAGUUGCUCAUUUUUUGUUAAAUUCUUGUUAUUUCUGUGGUUUGGUUAUUAUUUUAUUUUGAUGAUUGUUCAACAAUAAAACGUGUUUGUGAUUUAUAUUGUUUUCUAGAGGUUUGAUAUAAAUUAGCUCAUGGUAAUAAGCAACAUAGGGUAUGCUAGUUGAUAGAAAAAUCAGCACAUCCUCUGAAAUCGAAUGAGAUGAUCUUUGUGAAUAAUGAAUGCUUAUGUGUUCAAAAUUUAACUAAAAUUAAAUAGGUUCACAUAUGAGCUUGGAAUUGAUUGACCUUGAUAGAGGCUUUUUGAUUAAAACUGGAUCAUUGAUUUUCAAUUUAGGCAAGAAUCAGCAAUUGAAUGGUAAUUAAGAAGUGAAUUAGGAUUUGAACGGUAGAUUGUUGAUCUUGGGCUUUGCUUGGUAAUUUUACACUAAGAUCUUAAUAUGUGUUGGGCUUUUGAUACCCAAUAAAUCCCGGACUAUGAUGUUAACGAGGGUUCAUAUUAUUUCAUAGGCAUAGGUCGAUGAAUGAAAUAAGUCCAACAACCAAGUCUAUGAGUUACACUCGGCCCAAUUAUAUUUCCUCUUGGAUGACUUGAAUCUUGGACCGUUUACCUUUUUAAAGGUCCAACUUAAAGCCUAACCCUAGAGUAUAUAUAUGACUACAACCCUAGCCACUUUCUUGUGUUGCCCCCUUUGUGUGUGAAAAAACGCUUCUAGAAAUGUCCAAAACGCUUGUUUAACGUGUGCAAUUGGUGGUUCCUUCAUAGUAUAUUUUUAUGGUGUCUUCUCCUAACCUUUGUGGCCACAAAUCAUCAUCUUUUUUUGUCCUAUGUGGGUAAGAUUGAAUAGAAACCGAGGAGAAUUAAUUGGUUGUGGUUUGGAGCUGAUUGGACUGAUUGUUGGUUGAGAAAUGUGCGUUGGAUUAAGCCCGGAAAUCACCGAUUUGAAAAUCUUUCAAGAGAGUUUCCGCAACAUUUGGUAUCAGAGUUUCAAAGUGGUGGUUUUGGCUCUUGAAAUUUAGCAAAAAAAAUCGUCCAAAAAUUGGUAGAAUCAAACAAGAAAUUAGAUCGAAAAAACUGUCAAAAUUAGUUUCCAUUUUUUGCAUUUUUUGUUCAAUUCAGAAGGAGUUUUGGGAAACAGAGAUCAUUGGCAUAACGUGCAGGUAGAGUAGAACCCUACAGGGUGGCGCGUGUCAGAGAUGGUAGGGCGUGGCAUCAGCGCGUGAAGACCACGUGCAGAGAGAGUGAUGGCGCAUGCGGCACGUGGAGCAUUUUUUGGCGACGGUCUCUUCAGGCAGUUUGUUCCUUAUAUUAUUUUUGACAUUUUUUGUGUUGAAAUUUUUUGUUUCAGGACCUGUAGAAAAAUCUGGACAGUGUUGUUCUUCAGGCAUUCGGGACUGGAUCGUGAUUUUUUGGUUGCUGCAGUUUCUAGAGAUUUUAGGAUGAAUAGUGGUGGUCCUAUAGUGAUAAAUUCGCAACUCUCGUAAUUUACGGACUCGAGCAGGUCCGCUCUGGUAUAUUGGCUUAACUUAGUUUAAAUUUCAACAUUAGCAAAUUAUCGUGUGGGGUGAUCGUUAGGAUUGGGGAUUGUCAUUGCUUGACAAUCAUUGCUUGUGCUAGAAAAUUUAGGAAUUAUUUGCUCUAUUUUUGAAGUGUUGAGCUUUGAUUACAUGUUGGUAGUUGAUUUUGUGCUUAUCUAUCAUAUAAUCACUGUGUGAGACUUGUUGCGUGAAAAUUUGAAUUUUAUGUUUAUACACCUUCGUGCUUGCAUUAAUUAUCCCAUUAGAACUUCAAACAUUCCCUUGAUCUAAGAUCGGAAUCUUAUGAAACCCUGAGAAUCUAGAACGAUGUAUGUUGUGACUUUAGGAUUACUUUGUGUGAUCUAUUUGUGACUUGGUUGUUCUGUUUUUUUAUUUUCUCCUUAAAAAUGUCUUCAUACUUUGAAGUUGAAAUUUUUAAUGGGAAAUGAGAUUUUUCAAUUUGGCAACUAAAGAUAAAAAGUACUUUGGUUCAACAAAAAGUUUCAAAGGCCAUAGAUGGGAAAUUUCCUGGAAAUUUAACGGAAGCACAAAAAGAAGAGUAUGAUAAACUUGCAUACACUUCAAUUAUUUUACACCUGUCCAAGACUGUUUUGAGAAAAGUAGGAAAACUGGAUUCUACAAAACAACUUUGGGAAAAGUUGGAGGACUUAUAUUUGCUUAAGUCUACUCCAAAUAAACUGUACAUGCUUGAAUGAUUUUUCAGCUUUAAAAUGGAUCCUUCAAAGGAUCUUGAUGACAAUCUAGAUGUCUUUAACAAGUUAGUUCAAGACAUCGUUAAUUGUGAUGAAAAGAUAUCUGAAACGUAUAAGGCUAUUAUCCUAUUUAAUUCCAUGUCUGAUUCAUAUAGUUAAGAAUGCAAUUAAGUACGGUAGGGACACCUUAACACUUGAGAUUGUCAUAAACUCGCUUAGGAGUAAGGAGAUGGAUAUUAAGUCUGAAAAAGAGGAUAAGAUGAAUGGUGAGUUACAUAUUAUGAGGAGUAGGAUGAAGUUUAAGCAAAUUAAUUUAGGUAGAGCUCAAAAUAGUGAUGAUUUGAGUAGUGAGUCGAGUGAUGAAGGUGGUAAGAUGAAGGGCAAGGGACAGGACAAAUCUAUUGGUAGAAGGUGUUACAGCUGUAGUAAGUCUAGACACUUUAUUAGGGAUUGUCCCAAAAAGAAGGAUAAAUUGAAGGGUAAGAUGAGAGGUGAGAUGAAUUUGGUUGAGGGGUCGAGUUAUGACCCUAGUGAGAUUUAUUGAGAGUAGACCUAGUUACUGUAUAUGCAUCUGUGUGUGAUCAUUUCUGUAUAUGUGUGAUUGUCUAAAUUUUGUUGCAUGAUUAUCUGCUACAUUUCAAUGUGUUUUAUAUGUGCAUUUGCAUGAAUUUGAGACAAUAUGAUUACUUGGUGUAAUUGUUUGAAUGCAUAGUGGGUUAUGAUGCAUUAGCAGUGUGUUAAAUUUUUUUUGGUAUGGUAGAGUGUAGAUGUCUAGCGGUACAUUGUGGUUUGUACCGGGGAUGUAGAGUGUGACAUUUGGAUCACGAGUGGAGAUGUGAUCAAAUGUCUAGGAUCAUUUAUCUGUAAAGAGACCCUAAUCAGGUAGAGUGUGAGAGAGACACUUCUAUCACUUUUGUUAGGUGGAGACCUAUUAUCCACGUAGGUUGGGAGAAGUGAUGUAGAGAUAGAGAAUUAUCUCAUGGACUUAGGAUCUAUUGUGACUUGCUGAUUUGACAUGAGUUGAGUGAUCUGUUUAGUGAGCAUGUUGGGCAAUGAGAGGAGAUAUGUGUUCUCGAGGUGUGAGUAAUACGGAAUGGGAUAGGAUAAGUGUGAUGAGAUCUUUUCGUAGGGUCAUUUAUGCAUGUAUUGCAUAUGUGGUUGACCGUGGUUUGAUUGACUUGGUGUUAAUCUAUGGUUCUAUGUAAACGUGUUUCUGAAAAGAUCUAUGUAUGUUAUCUUAUAGUAUAUCAUUAUCACAUGUGUAUUUGCUUUUGAUUGUUUAUUGUUAAAUAUUUGCUUCUACUUGGGGUUUUUUUACCUUAGCCCCAUCGAGUACAUGGAGCAGGUAUGAUAUGUGUUUCAAGUUAGAAACAUGAGGUAAGGUUUGUGAUCCAAUUUUAUUGGCUACCUUGAUUAUGCGAGUGCUAAUUGUGUGUUUUGAUUGCUUAUAAAUUUAUUAGGCAUCAAGGUGGAGAUUUAUUGGGUUUUUGAUACCCAAUAAAUCCAGGACUAUGAUGUUAACGUGGGUUAAUAUUAUUUCAUAGGUAUAGGCCGAUGUAUGAAAUAAGUUCAACAACCAAGUCCAUGAAUUACACUCGGCCCAAUUAUAUGUCCUCUUAGAUGACUUGAAUCUUGGCCCGUUUACCUCUUUAAAGAUCCAAUUUAAAGCCUAACACUAUAGUAUAUAUAUGGCUAUAACCCUAGCCACUUUUUUGUGAUGUUUUGUGUGGUUUUGAGAGAAAAAUAUAAGAAUCCCGGCUGUCCCCUUUGUGUGUGAAAAAAGGCCUCUAGAAGUGUCCAAAACGCUUAUUUAAUGUGUGCAAUUGGUGGUUCCUUCAUAAUAUAUGUUUGUGAUGUCUUCUCCUAGCUUUUGUGGCCACAAAUCAUCAUCUUUUCUUGUUCUAUAUGGGUAAGAUUGAAUAGCAAUUGAGGAUAAUUAAUUGGUUGUGGUUUGAAGCCAAUUGGACUGAUUGUUGAUUGAGAAAUGUGCGUUGGAAUGAGCCCAAAAAUUACUGAUUUGAAGAUCUUUCAAGAGAGUUUCCGCAACAAUAUACUCUCAAAUCACGAAGUUAAGCUGUUAUUUCAGGGAAAAAUUUUCAUAACCUAAAAUAUUAAUCGUGUGUUUUUUUAAAUUUAGUUUUAAUUAAAGUAGAGUCUAUAAUUAAUCUUCAUGGGACUAGACUUGACUUAUCAUUAUAUUACUUGUGUACGAUCCAUCAUCUUUUAGGAUAUAUAUUGCAACACUUGAUGAUACCUCUUAAUGUAAGAGUUUAGUUUUCAUGUUGUUGUUUGUCUAUCAUGAUGAUGUGGAUUGAUUUUUCAAAUUGCAAAUUCUUCUAAAUUAUAAUGACGAGCCAACUAUAUAUAGGGGACAUCCGAAACUUAAUAGUAGAGUUAUGGUUGAAGUAGAAUUCAAGAAAUAACAUUAAAAAUGGAAUAGGAAACAAAACAGGGCCUACUCACUGUCUAUGUACUGGGAUACUGACUCCGUGUUUCAAUAUAAAGUUGUAGGCCUCUAGGCUCCUCGUCUCCAUUCCCAACAACUUUUUAAGAUGUUUUCUUCAUUCCAAAGUCCUCUUCAAGAAAAACACAAAUUUCAACUCUCGAUUAGAUUUCUAAAUAGAACUUUAACUAAAAUUCGUCAAAUUGACUUCGAAUAGGAUUCCCAAAACAAUUCCAAAUAGAAUUUCUCUUAACGUGCAUUUUAAUUAAAAUUGUAAUUAUUUUCAAUGAAAAAUUCUAGUCAUAUCCAAAUUCCAACAAUCUCUAUCUUGACACGAAUUUCAUCACAAUGAGUAAUCUUUAAAAAAUCUCCACUUGAAUACAAAUUCCACUACAAGGAUUAAACUUAAACUCUUUAAAAAAAAAUGGCAUUUUCCAUAAAAAAGUUUCCAACUGGAAAUAUUCUCCAUCUCUGCUAUCCCAACUAAACGAAUUCUAAUGAUCUCCAAACAGGAUUGAAAUAAAACCCUAUAAUAGAAUUACAACUAAAUGCAUUAAAAGAAUGAUCUUGGCUAGAAUCAAUAUCUUUAACAGCAUUCAAACAAUAAACUAAGUCAGCAGAAUUUUACCUAUGUGGAGUCUUAAGGCGUCAACUGAAUAUAAUGACACCACAGACAAUAGUUGUAAGAUGAAUUUACAAUUAAUUUCUAAAUUCAAUUGAGAUGUAUUCUUUAAAGAAGAUACCAUAUUAGAGCCUAACGGUAAUGAAUCCUACUCCAAAUCCACUUGAGUUCUUAAAAUAUGUUGUAUAACACUACAAGAUAUAUAAAUGGGACUUUCUAUGUCCCUUUAACAAAGCAUGGGCUCCUUUACUAACUUUUAGGACUCCACCUUCAACAAUGCACCUGUACUCCUAUUGAAUCAAGAGUGCUUAAGGAGAUAACAUUUCUCUUUAGGUCUGGAACGUGUCUUACUGCAUCAAGUGUUCUAACGAUCCCAUCGAACAACGCUAUUCUAAUCAAUCAAUAUCAACUACCUAACAACGUGUAUUAUUACUAAUCAUCACAAUACCUUUUGAAAUUACUUCAUAUGUUGAAAAUAAAUCCUAAAUGGGACACAUAUAUAAUCGGUAUCAAGAAUUUAAGUCUCGUCAAGUUUGGAGUUGUAAUUAAAUACAAGUAAAAGCUCUCAGCACUCUUAGAAUUUUCUAAAAGAUUUACUUCCCCUUAAGUUUUUGAUUAUUGAUUUGUAGUCAAUUUUACUUUAUUCUGCGAUUUAUAACAAUCGUUUAUCUAGAGCCCAUUUUUCUUGCAGUAAUUACAAAUUUGUAAGAUUUUGACUUGCCCCUUGCAUGAUUACUUUCAAUAAUGAAGCCAUCUCCAUAAACCUCAGAUGAAAUAAGAUGCUUUAUCUUCUUCUUUGAAUAUAGAGUAUCAUAUACUUCUUCGAUGGUGAAAUUUUACGACUAUAUAAAAUCGUAUCUUUAAAAGACAUGUAUGAAGUAGGCAAAUGAACACAAUAAAAUCAAUCAAAAAUCUUCUUAAUCAUAUUUGACCUCAAGGUCUCCAAAUUAGUGAAGAUUUCCUUAAAAAUGACAAAGUGAUCCUUAAGAGAUGAAACUUCUCUCAUAUUAUGAGAAUAUAGACAUUAUUUUUUAUGUAAUUUGCUAGUAAGUCUCUUAAAAAUGUAUACUUGCUCAAAUUUUAACCAAAAUGCAAUGGCUAACUUCUUCUUCAAAACAUUUUGAAGAAUAUUAUUUGAGAGAUAAAUAUAUAAUUUAGAUAGGGCCUUUUGAUCCCUCCACUGUUUUACCUUCAGAGUUGAAGUUGUGGGCAUCUUAUCAAAUCCCAGUAAUGCAUCGUCCAAAUCCAUCUGAGCAAGUACCGCUCACAUCUUUACAUGCCACAAAGAGAAUUUUAUAUUGCAAUCUAAUAGCAUAAUAUCAUACUUCACAGUUGCCAUCACAAAAAGAUCAGGUUGAGCUAUUAACAUGAUCAAAACCUUGAUCUUCCCAAAAAUUUGAAUACCAAGAGCUUUGUACCAAUUUUUUAUAUAGAAAAUUGAAAUUGGAUUAAUCCAAUACCAAUUUGUUGGAGAAAAUACAAGAUUAUAGGCACAACAUGAAAUAAAAUAACACCAUAACAAUGUAACUUGGAGAGAAUGAAGAUUUUAUUAUAAUAUGAAGAAAGAAUACAAAGAAGGAUGAGUCAAAGUUCUAUCAUUAGUAUUUUAAAUUUUUAAGGACCAUAAGUUUCGGUCACUACAAAGUAAAUUUUCAAAUUGUUGCACAAUAAUUCCAAUGUAAAUUAUGUUGCUUGUUCAACUAUUUUGACAAUGUGUAAGUUGACAGGGAUCCUAAUCAUUUAUUUGAAAAAUUAAUUUUCAAAUUAAUGAUCAAGAUCUUUACACCCCACACUGUCACACUAGUCACACAAAUUCAUUAUACAACUAGCUUAAUUUAUCAUUUUGAGUAAUGUUAGUUCAUAGUUGUAAAUAACAAGAUAUAUUAAUAGAGAUAUUUUAAAAAAAUUAAAACAUUAAUUAUACUUUCAACAAGGAAAGAGACCUAUAAUUUGGGAUUGUUAUUUAGAAAAAUGGAACCAGAUUAAUCCAAUACCAAUUUGUGGGAGAAACUAUGAGAUUAUAAACAGAAUAUGAAGGAACAUGAUGAAAAGUUUAGAUGUAGCCCAUUUAUUUUGACUCAAUGAGUAGAAUCAUACAAUUAAAAUGUGACGUGUGAAACCCUAAUUUGCUUUUUCAAGAGUUUUAUCCGACCAAUGAUACGUAAUUGCCUUUUACUAUAUAUACCAAACCCUAAACACGAAAUUUAGGUGAUUGAUCUUACUAUUUAUUCAUAACAUCCUUUUGAGAGAAAAAUAAUGGCUCUUCAUCUUUUACAUCCUGAGAUUCAUCAACCACAAUUUGGAAAAAAAUCAAGAUCACAUAAUCCAAAACACCCAUUACUUAUACACAUAUAGAAAGGUAUUUUUUCAAUAGCUUUCAGAGGUUGCUGAAAACUGAGAGAAGUUGGACCAAAAGCACAGGAAGAGUACAAGAACAAGGAAUCCUUGGUGAUCCACAAGAGAUAAACAAUUCUAGAAGAUCGAGAACAGGUGUGAGUGAAGCACUUUUUAACAGGUCUUAGAAAUUGCAGAAAGUAGAUCAAUGAGUCAAGUAAAAAUUUCUAGACUAGAUCGUACUAUAAGUUCAUUAUUAUCCAUAGUUUAGGUUAUUGAUUUGGUUUUGAAGUUUUAUCUACUUGAGUUUUCUUUGUCAACAUAUUUUGUGUUGUUUAUUGCUUUCAUAUCGUUGAUUGUGGCAUUCAAACCAUAUGAUAAUCUGACAUGAUUGAUUAACCAUCUAAAAAUAAUUAAAAAGUGAUUUAUUGCUUUUAAUUGUAUAAUUCCACACUUUGGGUCAAAAUAAAUUAGCUAAUUCUAAACUUUCACAUGAGAACAAUGAAUAGAUAAUGGAGAAAGAAUACUAAGAUUUUGUAUUUAAAAUGUUUUAACUCCUCCAUUAAUUAUAUUGAUGAGCUAACUAUACAUAGGGAACAAAUUAGAAAUUUCAAAACCAAAUAGUAGAGUUACACUAUUGCCGGCACCCUGGUGCCCAAUGCCGACUCCUUGUUUCGAUAUAAUGUUAUUAGGGCCUAGGCACCCCGUCUCCAUCCCAAACACUUUUCUUCAUUCCAAUGUCCUCUUUGUUAAAAGUUCUAGAGUAAUUUGUAAUCUUCAUCUAGUCGAAAUCCAAAUUGGAAACUUCAACAACAAAAGAAGAUUGAAAGAGUUCAAAUCCAAAUUGAGUACUUCAACCAACAAAGGCUUUAUUCAUCGAAUGGUCAAAGGAUAAAAUUUUCAAUUCAAGUUGUAUACUCAACUUGUACAAGCUAGAAAUUAACAUAGACAGCAAUCAAUUCACAUUCUAUUCAGCAAUCUGGAAAUUAGGCAGCAGCCAUUUGACACUUAUGAUGUUCAAACACAGCUGCAAAUACAUAUAUUCCAGCUAUAAAUGAUGAAGAAAAAAUAGCUUUUACCUAGUUGUAAUUAUAGAGAAUUAGUAAUACUACUUUAUUCAAUGUUUUUUUAUAAAUAGGAAGGUAUCCAUCUAGUGUUAUGUAUGUAGAAGAAGUGAGAAAAAUCUCUCAAAAAAAUAAAGAAAGAGUGUGUUGUAGCAACGUCAUUUGUGAUUCCUUAAAUUUCAUAAGAAAAAUUUCAUAUUUCUCUUAUCUAUUUCCUUCUACACCCAACACUCUUAAAGUCUAUCACAAAUUCCAAUUUCCAAUUGGACUUCCUAAUAGAAUUUCAACUAGAAUUCGCCAAAUAAAUUUCAAAUAGGAUUCCAAAUAAUCAUUCUAAAUAGAAUUUUUCUUAACCUGCACUUUGAUUAGAGUUCUCAAUUAUCUUCAAAAAAGAAUUCCGGUCAAACUCAAAUUCUAACAAGACAAACAAAAAAGGAAAGUAAAACUAUAUUUGUGGGACGGACAAAGAUUAUAUUUCAUUUAAUUUUGACUAAAUUUAAAAUAAGACAAUUUUAAUGUGUCCGAGACAAAAAUCUUAGGGCCAUGGGACCAUUAAUCAAUUUCCCUUGGAGCUUACUUUGAAUAAUUAAUAAUUUUACAUACGUAAGUACACAGCUAAGUCAUUGAAAUAAAAUCUAAGUAUGCAAUUAUGAAACUUUUCCUCCAAUUAUGUUACUGAACUUCUGUAUAUUCGCCUAUAUUUUGAUAGACUAAUCCAAAGUUUAUGUCGCACUCAAGCCGGAGAAAAAUUACAUGCUUGCAGCAAAUCCAUUUUAUGAUAUGAGUAAUAAAUUGAAAUUUAAAAAAAAAAGUUAGUAAUAAUUGAAUUUCUAUAAAUAUAUACUCGACAACCUCUAGUACCUUUUACCUUUAAUGUAUAGAAAAACUUAAAUAAAAAUAAAAAAUAAAAAAUAAACUAAAACUAAAACACAAAAUGAACAAGGCUUGUUAACUACCAAAUGGAAAAUUUAUGCUCUUAGUCGUACUUUUGAGUACAUAAUAUAGCCCAAAAAAAAUUUGCAUAUAAUGUUUUGAGACUAAUAUCAUAUAGCUAGAAGAAUUAGAUGAAAAUAAUGAUAUCUUCCAUUCUUGCAUUACUAGGUCUUUAAAUUGAAUUAAAAAAUUGAAAUUAAAAAAAAAGAGUAAUAAUUGAAUUUCUGUAAAUAUAUACUCGACGACCUCCAGUACCUUUUACCUUUAAUGUAUAGAAAAACUUAAAUAAAAUAAAAAUGAAAAUAAUAAAAAAAACUAAAACUAAAACACAAAAUGAACAAGGCUUGUUAACUGCCAAAUGGAAAGUUUAUGCUCUUAGUCGUACUUUUGAGUACAUAAUAUAGCCAAAAAAAAAUUGUAUAUAAUGUUUUGAGACUAAUAUCAUAUAGCUGGAAGAAAUUAGACGAAAAUAAUGAUAUCUUGCAUUACUAGGUUUUAUUUUCAUGAAAAUGUCAUAACAUUGCUAAAAUCGCUUUCCUCUUUAACCAUCUUUGUCCCUGCCACUGAUCAACCUAAGAUUUUUCCUAACCUUGAACCCAAUAAUAAGGGAAUCAUAGAACAGAGGCCUACUAGACAGCGUAGGUUCUACCAACCUAGGAAUAGAAGAAAUCAGCGAAUACAUAACUUUGGUCCUAGGUUUAUCCCUACGUGUUUCAAGCCUGAAGAGUUAAGAUAUAUAAAGUCUAGGUGUCAUAAAUUCCUAACCAAAAAUAGAAUCCUUCAAGUGGUAUCUAGUAAUUUUCAAGUGGUAUCAGAGCUAACUAAAAAUAAUAAUUAGGAUUUUGAUAAUCGAAUUGACUUCCUUAGUAAUUAGGUGAGUCAAUAGACUGAGUUAAUUGUUGAGGUUGUUCCACAUCGGUUGUGAAUGGGGUUGGUAUUGAGUUUUAUAAAUGCCGAGAAAACUUAACCUCUUGAGAUAGCUUUUGGGGUGAAAAAGGCUCAAUACCACCCAACACUAGUAUCAGAGCUCGACUUAUCAACAAGUCUCUAGCCCAACAGUCACAUAGAUAUGGAUUUGUGUGAGGGGGAGAUGGUUUUGGUUUUCCGUAGGCCCUAUUUUAUGAGGGGAAACGGGUUUGGUCUCCCGUAGGGCCUGAUGUGUGGACUAGACAUGUUUGAUUUUCGACAAAGCCUGAUAUGUAAGGGGGAGAUUAUUGAGGUUGUCCCACAUCGGUUGUGGAUGGGGUUGGUAUUCAAUUUAUAAUUGUAAGAAAAUUUCUAACCUCUUGAACUAGCUUUUGGAGUGAGAAAGGCCCAAUACUACCCAACAUUAAUGACAUAAUAAACUAGGAUCAAUUCCUCUACUAGGAAAGUUUGGGUGAAGAAAAGUGAUCUUAAAAAUCUUGAAAUAGAUCACUAUGCUCUUAUAGGUAAGAGCAUUUUUAUGUUUUAGGUUCAUAUAUGUGCUUCUUCAAAUAAUUUCCAUUGGCACAUGCAUAUUUUUUUGUGUUUUUGUGUGUUGAAUUUUUUUAUUUUGUGUGUUAGAUGCAUUCAUGUUAAAAAAAAUGAGGGGAGACGUUUUUAACUAUAGUAUGAUAAAUGAUAUACUUGAGCUUGUGUGUUGUGACCAAGUAUGAGCAUAAUCGAUGUACCGUGGCGUAUUUUCCAAUACUUUGUUUAGAUUUUUAUGAAGUACUUAGUACAGGUUUCUUCAUGUACCAUCUACACUGCACGCACUAUGAUAGUAUGAGUGGAACUUGACCACAUGUGUGAGAUUUGGGAUGUCAGUCGCAUGUUGGUAAAGUGAUCUUGAACAUGAAUUGAUUUUAUUUUAGUUAACCUAAGUCUAAGUAUAUUCCCUUAAAAAUGACUAAAUAUCAUGUGCUCUUCUUUAGAGCUUAUAUAACUCAAGCAAUUAAACAUGCGAGAUUUCUCAUAACCUGGUACCUCUGGUCAACUAACUUGGGUUAACCGGCCUAAAGUUCGUUACAAGGGUCAUCUUAGUCGAUUAAUGUAGAAGAGUCUGCAUAUAAGAUAUGAAAAAUUGAUGAGAAAAAUGACGAGCUUCAAAAUUUAGAAAAUGUGUAGAAAAUAUGUAUGCUCAAAGUCAUGGGGAGAAAAUAAUAAUGUACAUGCAAAAAGAGCUUCUUUAUAGGUCCUAUAUGCACUAAUCUGUUUGACUUUCAUUAGUAGAGGAAUAAACAUAUUGACAGUGAUAUAUAGCAUGUUCUUUCUCCCAAAAUUAAGGUUUGGAAUCAUGCUUACAAAGGACUAGUGACACUUUACACACAUGAGUAACUUAUACAAUUUACUCCAUUUUAGCUUGAACUGAGUAAAGUUUACUAAUCAUUGACUAUGUUUGCACAUGCUAUGAAUUGCAUCUUUGAGUUGAUAUGUAUUAAUGUUCAAUUGUUUUUUUUAUAAAGUUUCCAUCAUCAUUUGUGACAAAAAUGGGGAGAGAGAGUUUUGAUUGUUGGGUGAGUCUGCAGUAAGGGGGAGAGAUGAUCGUAAGAGGGAGUUGAUUGUAUUUUUUGCAUUCAUGGCAUUCUAUAUCAUAAUGCAUAGCUUUUUUGAGUUUUAAUUUUUUGUGAUAUUAAUGUUUCAUUUGGUGCUUUGAUUAGUGAAAUAUCGUAGUUCGACCCAAUCAACACCUAGAGGGAGGUGAAUAGGUGUUUGUGGAAUUUUCUUUUUCAAUCAAUUAAUAAUUGCAACACAUCACAAAUAUUAAUUUGUCCAAAUCAAUUCACAUGCGUUACUAUCCUAUGUUUGAAUACCGGUAAUAAACUAAUAGCAGAAAAGUAAAUAACGCAAUUGUUUGUUGACGGAGAAACCCCAAGGUAGGUAAAACUCUAGGCCCAAGCCAGUAGGAAUCCACUAUAAAUGAAAAUACAACUUACAAUAUGUCAGACUCAACCCAUACUGAUUUUUCUGACCUCCCGACUAUAAUUUCCUCAAAGCCUUCUUGGAAUGCUUGAUCAUGCACCAACUCCCAGCUCCUAGCCCUCCUGAAUUGUGUGCUACACCAAUUCUCGGCUCUUGAUUUCGUCUAUCUCCUGUGGAUUCAAGAGAACUGCCUGUUCUCUAACGAUCGGGACUCUGAUCUCUUUCCUUGAUCUCCAAGAAUCAACAAAAGCAAGAAGGUUGUAUUGUGACGUUUGAUGAAUGUAGAUUUGAUGUUUCUAGAUGAUUGCGUGUAUCAAAUGUGGGAUUAAAUGAAUGAAUCAAGUGUAGAGAGUUUUUCUUUAAUUUCAAUCCUUAUGAGAGACGUAUGAAAAUCAGCGCAAUUUAAUUUAUAUAAAGUGUAUUAGGACAUUUGGGUUAGGUCAAAAUGUCAAAAAAAGGAAAAUAGGGUUUUCUAGGUAAUACCGUCACUCGAGCGAGAAGCAAGUUAAUUAUUGCCUUGUCUUCUUUCAACAUGUUUUCUAAAAUCACAACUCACAUACCCAGUGUAAAAGCACAAGACACAGUAAUAUAAGUUAUCAUAAUAAAGACAAACAGUCAUGCAUAGCCAUAAUAUUGUCCCAAAAUGCUAGAUUAAGAUACAAUAUCAAUGUAAGUCAAAUCACCAAAACAUACAUCAAUAUUUCAAAAACAUCAAAACAUAAUCUAACAAAAAUAGCAAAAUUGCAGUAUCAAUCAUUACAAUAGCAAAAUUGCAGUAUCAAUCAUUACAAUUCCCAAUGCUACUCCCCCUUUUUUUCAUAAAUGGCAAGGGGAACUCUAAGCAACUAAGUAUGACCAUCAUCUCCGCCAUCCACGUCCUCAUAAUCGUCAACCUUAGACUCAUAAUCCCAGUACUCACGCAUCCAUCGAAUACUGUGCUGAACCAGGGCAAUAGCCCCCCGCAAUGUAGCAAACUCCGCAGUAUGACGCUCGGAAGCAGCUCGUAACUGAGUAAUGUCGGCCAUCAUGCAGGCCUAUUGCUCAAUGAGAAUCGACAUUUGAUCCAUAAGCGCGACAGUGGGGUCAAUAGAAGCAGUAGCCGGAGCAGGCGAGGCGGGUGGUGGAACAGAAGUGGAAGAAGAGGGAAUAUCGGAAGUGGAUGGAGGAACAUCUGAAGAAGGUGGAGGAAUAGUGAAGAGACUUGAGAGUAAAUCACCUAAAGGAUCAGCGGGCACUGUCGAAUCGACAGGCUCAGCUGGCUCAGCAGGAGCAGAUGCAGAUGCAGAAGCGAAAAGCUGACAUGUAACCUAUUCUGAGAGAUGGUAGUGUGCCCUAUGGGACGAAGAGCUCGCCGUGACACCCCAUCGGGAAAUAAAACCCCAAGUGAUGUCACUAAGCGAUAGAUCAAGCAAGCAUAGAGAAGACCAAUCCAAUGACUGGGAAACCGAAAAGUGUGCAAAAUAUGCUGGCAAAUGAAAGUGGAUAGGUUAAUCAAAUCCCUAUAUAGCAGAGCAUAGAGAAAUCUUACCUUUUCCAUAGGCAGGGAAGAAGUGUGAGAGACCGACCACAGAUUUGUACACACAAUGUGCAACAAAAUCUGUCGAUCAGUGGGGAGCAAACCAGUGCGGAUCGCCUUAGGCCCACCUCCCAAUGGACUAUUAAACAGAGUGGACCGAACAAGAGAGUCAGCCGAAAUAUAAUCAGCUGAGAGAUAUGGGUAAACAGGGUGAAUGACCCGGGGAACAUGUAUGGAACUGGAAAUAACAUCUGGUGAAAUCCUAAGUAUCUGAUCCCGAAGGAACACCCUAAAGGACAACUCACUAAUGUCCUAAAUGUUCGUAUAGAACUCCUAAACAAGGAGACUAGGUGGGGGAUUUAAACCUAUCAGUAAAGAUUCCUAACCUCAUGAGGUGAGAAUGGCAGCUAAAUCAGGUGGUAAGUCAGAUAGGGUGACCUCACGCUCAACUAAGAUAGGACGCAGUGAAAACUGACUCCCAAACACUUCCUGUGCAGUAGAAGAAAUAAACUUUGACCUACUAAACGAUGUUGAACCACUAGCUGGUAAAGCUGUAGUGUGAGCCCUCUUAGGUACCAUAUGAAAAAAGGAUAUGUGGAAUGGACUUCAAGACCCAUAGAUUGCCAAGAAAUGGGAAUGCAUGAACGUUCGUGAUCCAAUGCUCAAACAUAUACAGGCACAUAGACUGAUGCAAGGGAAUGCAAUAGUAGCAAGCAUAUAAGACCAACUAAACACAUGACACAGUAGCUAUAAGACAAUAUAUAAAUGUAGGUGACGUGACCUAGACGUAAGGAGUAACGGUCACAGGACGAAGGGGAACACACUGCAGGGCAUGAAACCAAGAACAGAAACAAUAUAGCAGUGACAUGAGAACACCAAAAUGGCCAAAACAUCACUUACAUAUGCAACCAAUACCACAUAGUCACGCACAACGUGGUUGAAGCAAAACAUUGAACACAUGAUGGGCAUGAAGAAUGCAUAUAAGUUUUGCUCCAAUUCAAGUCAAUUAAAAAACACAACGAGCAUUCCCAACCAACCUAACGACCGAGCAUCUAGAAAAAUUCCCAACCACGUGCAGCAAUAAUCACAAUGAACGGCGCACAAAUAAGGCAGUCAAUGAGCAUAAAAAAAUGAAGUUCAAAUGCGCAAAUCAAGCUUAAAGCAAGGAAGUCACAAUCCACACUCCAACAUGCACAAAGAAUGAAGUAAUUGAUGCAAAACGAAACUUAAAAUUCAAAAUCCCCAAAUUGAACUGAAACUAGGGCACGAGAGGCUCUUACCCGAGAUUGGCACGAAGUAAAACCUACACCAAGGUAAUGGAAUGAGAACCCACACACAGGUAAUGAGGAGCAAAACCACCAAGAACGCCAUUAGUGAGGGGAAAUUUGAGAAAGGAAUGGAAGAAAUUUAAAAAAAAAAUGAAGUUUAACCCAAUCGCGAGAAAACAAAAAAGCUCACUGUCGCUCGAGCGACAAGCAAUCUGCUUCUAUCGCUCAAGCGAGCUGCUAGCGGCAAGCGAGCGACGGGUAAAUUGUCAAAAAUAGCACCAAGUUUUGAAAAUUGAAAAAUCCAGCACCAUGUUUGGAACUUUGAAAUGUAGCACCACUUUAGAAACUUUCAAAAUUAGCACCAUUUAUAGAAAUUUGAAUUUUGACCCCAAUUUUUUUUUAUUUAAUAGGAAAUAUACACAUGUAGUAAGUCCAAUCAAAAUGCAGUAGAUCACAAAUACGGCAUGCUCUAUGAUUAGAAAAUGUUUCUCCACACACCGGAACUAAGUACAGAUGGAGUAAAUUGCAUAUAUGACCCCAUGUGAAACGUGCCAAUCAUUCCAUGCAAGUAAGACUCAAAAACUUAAAUUUGUGAGAAGAAACAACCAAAUCAUCGAUGUGUGAGUCAACAUCCAUAUGUUUGAAGGUCAAAUCCAAUACCACUAGGACCUAUAAUUCACUGAAAUAUGGUGUAAAAUUGUUUUUUCUCCCCUUGUCAUCAAGGACCUUCAAAAUUUUUUUAUUUUUGUUAAAAUCUUUUGUGCAAUCUCAUCUCCAUUAAGCUAUUAAGAAGACCUCUGUAAGAGCGUUGGGUCGGUGACUCCCAAACCAGUUAGCUUUAGGGCACCAGGUUAUGAAAAAUCCCUCAGACUGAAUUGCUCAAGUCAAUAGGCUUCAAAGAUAGGUAUAAGACGUAAUACAAUAAAUAAUAUUCUUUUGGAUCACUUGGGGGUACACCAGCAAUUAGGUUAUCUAGUCGAAAAUCAAUUCAAACCCAAUGUCAACUCAACGACAAAUGAUAGUCAUCCUAAGUCUCACACUGCGGUCAAGACUCACUCACACGGUCCUGGUUUUUGCUGUGCAGAUAGAAUAUGAAGUGACAUAUACUAAGUACUCCACACAGACUCAAUAUAAGUGAUGGGAAUUAGAAACUAAUCAUGUAUGGAAUGCAUCUUUGAUCCCAAAUUGCAAGUCCAAGUUAAUAUAUAUAUAAUUUUUUUUUAAAAGCCAAAAUGAAAGACAAAUGCAAGUAAAAACAAUCAAGCAAUGCCAUGAAUGCAGAAAUGAAUUAUUGAAAUAAACUAAACAUGCAUGCAUCUAUGAAGACGAUCAAUGAAGAACACAGAUGCCAACAGCCUUCCUAAGUGACUCGAACCUCAACUCAGCUAGAGGUUUAGUGAACAGAUCGACAAGUUGAUUUUCAGUAGAGAUAUGUUCAAGUGACACCACAUUGGACUCAACUAGCUCUCGAAUAAAGUGAUGACGAAUGUCAAUAUGUUUGGUCCUAGAAUGCUAAACAGGAUUUUUUGAUAUGUUGAUAGCACUGAUAUUAUCACAGAAAACAGUCAUAGUACCCUAAUUUAUCCCAUUAUCACUCAGCAUUUGCUUCAUCCAAAGCAGUUGAGUGCAAUAGCUACCAGCUGCAAUGUAUUCUGCCUGGGCUAUGGACAAUGAGACUGAGUUUUGUCUCUUACUCAUCCAUGAGACAAGAUUAGAACCAACAUAGAAACAUCUAUUGGAGGUACUCUUUCUAUCGUCGGCAUUUCCGGCCCAAUCAACAUCAAAUUCUUGUUUCAUGCAUUCAGCGAAUUCAAGAGCAAGGGAGUCAAUGGGAGAGCCAAAGAUGAUGUCAUCGACAUAGAUAUAUGCUACAAUUAUAGUUUCUUCAAUAUAUCUAAUGAAUAAGGUUUUGUCAGCACCACCUCGUGAAAACCCAUGCUCAACUAGGUAAGUGGUAAGUCUGUCAUAUAUAGUGCUUUAUUGAGUUUGUAGACAUAAUGAGGAAACUUAGGGUUAAUGAAUCCUUUUGGCUAUUCAAUAUACACCUCUUCUUGCAGUAUUCCAUUUAAGAAUGCACUCUUAACAUCCAUUUGAUAUAACUUGAACCCAAGGUACAAGCAACCACAAGAAGAAUGCGAAUGGACUCAAGACGAGCAACAGGGGCAAAUGUCUCAUCAAAAUCUACCCCUUCAACCUGAGUGUACUCCUGGGCAACUAGUCUAGCCAUAUUUCUAGUUAUGGUACCUUGGUCAUCAAUUUUGUUCUUGAAAAUCCACUUAGUACCUAUCACAUUACAAUCAUCAGGCCUAGGAACUAGAUACCAAACAUUAUUUCAAACAAAUUGAUUAAGCUCCUCAUGUAUGGCAUUCACCCAACAUUCAUCUCUAAGGGCUUCCUCUACUUUCUUAGGUUCAAUCUGGGAUACAUAGCUAGUAUAUGUUAGAUUAUUUAGAACUCUCUUUCGUAACCUCAUACCUUCAUCUAAGUCCCUAAUGAUGUUAACCUUAGGAUGAUUAGAUUUGACCUUGGAAGAUGGUUCUCUAGGAAGCUUAGAUUAAUCACAAUUUGGUAGACCCGAUCAGAGAUGUCUACACCUUUAGAGGAGCGUAGAGAUUUUGAAAUUGAUUGCUCUUUAUUUUUAGCAGUGGCUACUUGAUCAUCGCUUAGAUCUUAUAUAUCUAGCCCAUUUUCAGCACUCUUUCCCUUAGUGAAGGCAUCAUCAACAACAACAUUUACAGAUUCCAUGACACUCUGAGUACGCAAGUUAUAAACUCGGUAGGCUCUACUGUUCUUAGAAUAUCCUAGAAAAACCCCAUCAUCACUUUUGGAAUCAAACUUGUCUAGAUUUUCUCUAUCCCUCAGAAUGUAACACUUGCUGCCAAACACACGAAAGUAUUUAACAGUAGGUUUCUUGCCCUUCCAGAUCUCAUAGGGAGUCUUGUCUAUUUUCAGUCUAAGGUAUACCCUAUUUACUAUGUGGCAAGCAGUGUUAAUGGCUUUACCCCAGAAAUGCAUUGCUAGAUCCUUGUCGUGAAGCAUGGCCCUAGCCAUUUCUUGAAGCACUCUAUUCUUUCUCUUAACAACUCCAUUUUGCUGUAGAGUGAUUGGUGAGGAGAACUCAUACUUAAUCCCCUCCUCCAAACAGAAGUUUUCAAGAUUGAAGUUUUCAAAUUCUUUCCCAUGAUCACUUCGAAGCCUAGAAAUGGAAAGAUUUUGUUCAAUUUUGAGUCUUUUACAUAAAGACUUAAUCAGAUCACCCGUCUCAAAUUUUUCUCUUAACAGUUCAAUCCAGGUGUAUCUGGAAAAGUCAUCUACCACAAUCAGAAUAUACCGUUUGCCUCCUAGGCUCUCCACUCUAGAUGGUCCUAUUAAAUCCCUAUAGAGAAGCUCUAAGGAUCUAUUUGUCAAGAUUUUCAAGGUUUGCUUAUGGUUUAUCCUGAGUUGCUUUCCUUGUUGACACGACUUGCACACAGUAUUUUCACUUUGAUUAAUUUUAGGUAGACCAUCGACAAUCAUUUUUGACCAAUUUGGAGAGACUUCUGUAAUUAACAUGACCAAUCCUUUGAUGCCAAAGUUCUGACAUAUCAAUUUUAGCACUACUGCACACAUAGUUUGAGUUUGGGAGAACUCUAUAACAGUUAUCACAUGUUUUAACACCUUCAAGAACAACACCACUUGAAGGGUCAUAAACAGUGCAUCUCUUUUGGACAAAACUUACUUCAUAGUCAACAUAAUAGAUUUGACUAAUGCUCAACAAGUUGGACUUAAUACUCUCUACAUAAAGCACAUUAGAUAUUGUAGAAAGUCCAGAAAUGGUGAUGAAGCCUUUACCUUGGAUGGGUACCGUAGCUCCGUCCCCAAAGGUAACUACACCACCGUUGUAGUCAUCAAUGGUAGAGAAUAAGGCCUUGUUACCACACAUGUGUCUAGAACAAGCACUAUCAAGAUACCACAUGCAAAUAUUUUGAGCCUUAUACGCUACAUGAGCAACAAAACAUUUUAGAUUCUCACCAUACUCACCCACAUUAGAUUUCUUUACCCAAACUUUUCUAGAGGUCGAGGUGAUCCUAUUCAACCUUGUUACCAUCUCAGUUAAGUGACUAACCUGAUUUGAAAGGAAGUUUACAUGACUAGGGAUAUCCUGACUUCUAUUCCUAUUUGCUAGCUUUCGACACCUAGGUCUCGUGUAAACUAAAGCACCGCAGUGAUGACAAGUGGGUAUGACCCUAGGUUCAGAUGCACGUGAGUGUUGAUCCUGAAAUUUAGGUGUAGAAAUCUUAGUGGCUCUAGUGGCCUUCAGUUCAGUGACAUUCUUGCCUUUGGAUUCUGGAUUGGUUGAAAUAUUAGACCUGUUCCGGGGACAAAUGUGGUCUUGGACGAACUAGACACAUUACCAUCACUCUUCACAAAUCAUAGACCUUGUCUAUUUCCAGUUGGUUUGUUCAUUCAUAAUAGAUCAUCUAGUUUCUUUGUUCCACUCAUAAACGACUACAGUUGAGUACUGGAUUUCUCUAACUCAUAAGUCAGUGUCUUAACCCUAUCCUCUAAUUUCUCAUUGACACACUUCAACUCACUGAGAUUUUUAGAUGAGACUUGAAGAUCAUUAGUGAUUUUCUCCUUCUCUCUCUCAAGCUCAUCUACUUUCUUAAAUAGGGCUUUAUUUACCUUUUUGAUCUUGAGACUUUCCUUAAACAGAAGUUGAUAAGCUUCAUGUAUAUCCGUCUCAUCCUUAGAAUCAUCACGGGACUUGUUAUUCUCAACCUCCUUCUCAACGUUCUCACUCUCCUUAUCUGACUCACUCUUAACAGUAGAUACAAAAUCUAUAUAGCCCUUUUCCUCUUCACUGCUUGAGGAACCACUUUGAUCACUUGAGUUAGAAUCAUCAUCAGUCAAGGACACAGCUAAUGCCUUGCUCCUUCCAUUCUUUAGAUUUUUCUUAAAGCUAGGACAUUCAUUCCUAUAGUGCCCAAAUCCUUGACACUCAUGACACCUAACCACUUGAGAUUUCUUACCAGGGUUCCUAGCAAUUGAUUUAUCAUUCGUCUCUCUUAGGAAUUUGCUAGGGGCUCCUCUCCUUUUGUCUUAGGGCCAUUCCUUGGCCUUUAAGACUUUCUGGAAUUUUUUUACAAAGUAGGCAAUCUCUUCAUCUCUAAGAGUUUCUAUGUUAGAUGACUCAGACUCCUCUUCCCUAACGGUGUUCAAGGCUAUGGACUUGUUUUUCCUCAGUUGUGAAAUGGUGAGUUCAUAGGUUUGAAGGGGUCCUAUGAGUUCUUCUAUCUUAACUGUGUCUAGGUCCUUGCUUUCUUCAAUAACUGUAACUUUAGGUCUAAGUCUCUUGGGUAAGGACCUAAGAACCUUCCUUAUGAUUUUGGACUCGGGAAUUCUCUCACCUAGGUUGAAAUAGAGUUAACAAUGUCAUUCAAUUUGACAUAGAACUCAUCAAAACACUUAUCAUCCUUCAUCCUAAUUUCUUCGAACCUUGAGGUCAAUAUUUGCAACUUAGAAUUUUUCACAGUUUUAGUUCCAUCAUGCGUUGUCUCUAGAAUGUCCCAUACCUCUUUAGCAGUUUCACACAUUGACACUCUCCUAAACUCUUCAGGAGACACAUACAUAAAUAAUGCAUGGAGACAUUUACUAUUCCAGUUGCAAUCACCCAAUUUAUCCUUAGUCCAAAGGGAAAUGUCAGUUGGGGUUACAACACUAGAAACAAUUGUGGAAGGAGGUUUCCAACCAUUUUGUAUACUCACCUAGACACGUUCAUUUAGGGACUUAAGAAAAGCACGCAUUCUAACCUUCCAAUAGGUAUAGUUGCUUCCAUUAAAAUACGGAGGCACAGAUAGUGAUUGACUCAUCUAGACAACUAUGGGUCAGGACUCGAGAUUUGACUCUGAUACCACUUGAAAUAUCGUAGUUCGACCCAAUCAAUGCCUAGACUAGGGGGUAAAUAUGUGUUUAUGUGGAAUUUUCUUUUUUAAUCAAUCAAUAAUUGCAACACGUCACAAAUAUUAAUUUGUCCAUAUCAGUUCACAUGCUUUACUAUCCUAUGUUUGAAUACCGGUAAUAAAUUAAUAGUAGAAAAGUAAAAACACAAUUGUUUGUUGAUGGAGAAACCCCAAGAUGGGUAAAACUCCGAGCCCAAGCCAGUAGAAAUCCACUAUAAACGAAAAUACAACUUACAAUCUGUCAAACUCAACCCACACUAAUUUUUCUGACCUCUUGACUGUAAUUUCCUAAAAGCCUUCCUGGAAUGCGUGAUCGUGCACUAACUUUUGGCUCCUAGCUCUCUUGGAUUACAUGCUACACCAAUUCCCGGCUCUUGAUUUCGUCUAUCUCCUGUGGAUUCAAGAGAACCGCUUGUUCUCUAAUGAUCAGGACUCCGAUCUCCUUCCUCGAUCUCCAAGAAUCAACAAAAGCACUAGAAGGUUGUGUUGUGGUGUUUGAUGAAUGUAGAUUUGAUGUUUUUAGGUAAUUGUCCAAAUCAAAUAUGGGAUUAAAUGAAUGAAUCAAGUGUAGAGAGUUUUUCUUUAAUUUCAAUCCUUAAGAGAGACAUAUGAAAAUUGACGUAAUUUAAUUUAUAUGAAGUGUAUUGGGACAUUUGGGUCGGGUCAAAAUGUCGAAAAAAGAAAAAUAGGGUUUUUUAGGUAACACCAUCGCUCGAGCGAAAAGCAAGCGACACUAUUUUCGCUCGAGCGAAGUGGGGGCGAGAAGGGAGCAACGACCUUUCUGUUUUUGUCGCUCGAGUGACUACUUGGCGAGCAGCUAGCGAAACUUCAACGACACAUUUUGCCCUACUUCAUAGCUCAAACCCUAACAUACUUUGACAAAAUUACAACUUAGUCCCUCAUCUUUUACACAUGUACAAAUUUACCCCUAACCUUUAAACAUUGACAAAUUGACCCCCAAACUUUUGAACAUUUACAAUUUUACCCUUUUGUUCACAGAAUAGCCAACACAAAAUCUAUCAAUUAGCGUUAGUAUUACUUCUCAAUCUAGCUAGCAUAUUUAUGAUAAUUUGUUUCAAUUUCUAUAUUUCCUAUAUUACGUGCUUUUAUAAUUGGUAUUUGAGUUGUUGAUUUCAAAAAACAGGUUUAACCAGGAACGCAAGAAACUGACAUUCAGCUUGGGUUUAGGUAAAAUAGUUUUAUUUUCACUUCUUUUACUUGUAUUGUAUAGUUUUGUCGCAUAAUGCCAAAGGAGGAGUUUGUGAGAUUUUUAUUGUAUUGGCAAUAAUUGAUAUUUUUUCUUUCCAAACCUACUUGUCUAAUUAUCGGUAGCAAGUGAUAUUUCAACAAACCUCUUGGCUGUAAAUGCAGUUUCCCUAUGUCUGAUUGAGAUAAGGAAGUUCAAAGACAUAUAUAUAUGAUCAAGAUUGGGGGGAGGAACCAUAUCUGAAAAUGUUGGUGAUUCUGGUUGAUCAUCAUCUUUUUCAUAUUCAUUUUGAUAAUGAGGUUUUGGAAUAAUAGGAGUAAAAUAUGCUCUUUUGUAUGAAGAUUGAAAGGAUGAUCUGGGUUUUUCUUCAGAUCUAGUUGAAAAAGACUUAGCAGAAUAAGAUCUUUGAAUCCUUGAAGAUGAUCUUUUGAAAAGAAUCUUAGCUUUUCCAUCUAGAAAAGUAAGAAUUUGAUUUGGAGUUGUUCUAGUUUGAGCAGGAACAGGUGUUUGAACAUUAUCAAAAUUUCAUUCGAGUCCACGGGAUUGAAGUUUCCAUGGAAUUCUUUUUGGAAUUUUGACAUUUGAGUGAAAAUGAUUGACUUCAACUAAAAGAAUUUCAUCUCUUGGUGAAGAAUGAAGAACUCCAAUAUUGAGUUGAGUAUUCAUAAACUUAUAAUAUACUCUGUAUAUUACAGCAAAAGCAUUUGACCUACUAUCAAAUUCAAGAUUUUUUGUUUGAAUAUGAAGAUUGAGAGAAUUGAGAAUUGCUCUAUCAGUAAGUUUGAUAGAAAAGCUUGGAUAACAGUUUGAAAAUACUGGACCACUUUCUAGAUUUGAUUCUAGAAGUGAAAGUAAUGAAUUUUCAAAAUUGAGAUGUCUCUUAUUUCUAAGAGUAAGUAAAAUUGGAACAUCAAGACCAAGUUUAAACAAGGGCUUGACUGCUAUUUGACCUAAUCCAACAUGAAGAUAUUUAAAUUUUUUCCAGUCGGAUUCAAUAGCUUCUUUUGUAAGCAAAUUAACGAAAGAAUUUUGACUAUUAGUUGAAAUAGUUUGUUCAAUAGUUUUGAUAGCAUAAUUUUGGGAAAAAUCAAAUUUUCCUAUUUCAUAGAUGGUAUGUUUAUCUAACUUUGGAAUAGUCCAAUUUUGAAGACGUUCAAUUUGUGCAAUUUGAAGUUCAUGAGAAUUGAAAUCAUUUGAUGCAAAUGAUGCAGAUGCACGAUCAAUUUCUUCUUCUAUUUGAAAAAUAUUUGUUCUAUUCUCAUUUGAUUGAUUUUCACGUCUAUUUCUAGACCUCGAUCUCCUUAACCAAUUAGUAACUCAAGACAUAAUUGAAUAAAAAUGAAAUUACUAUAAAACAAAGUAAAAACAAAAUAAUAGGAUUAACAAAUUCUCACCAAGCCUACAAUGGGACCACCCUUCAAUGCCUACACUGGCAACACGGGCUGACCAAUGCUUAAUAGCAAACGUCCAGGUUUGAACAAGAUUUUCCUAAAUAUCUUGUGCUUAUAGUGUUUGAUACCAAAAUAGCCCAGGGGAAAGAAGAAACAGAAAUAGUGAGAAAGAGAUCAAAUUGAGAAAUGUUUAUUGAAAAUUGUAGAAUUGAAAUACAAUUUUGUAAGUUUAGAGAACAAAAAUAACAAAGAAAAUAAACUUCUAUUGCCAAAUUCGCUCUGCCUUGAAAUGAACUCUUGAAGUUUUCUUUUACUUGAAAUCCGAACUUGAAAUUUCUUUCAUUUGCCAAAAACAAUCUUGAAUAGUUGAGUGGGAGACAAAAUAAUGAAGAAUCUUGAAAUAUGAUACUAGCUUUUGAAUAAUUGAGCCAUCUUUUGAAAAACUUUACAAAGAAAGAUUCCUUCUAUAAUAAAGUUGUCUUUUUCUUGGAAUGGAUGGCAAUCUGUUGAAAAAAACCUGAUUAGUUGGCAUGCAUAAUUUGAAAAGAUUUUCCCUUCAUUUAUUGAUCCGGUAAUUUCUCAAUUCUUCGAGAAAAUCGGGUUCUUGUAGUCAUAUGAUCCUCUUUUCUUGAGCAAGAAAUUAAUCAUAACCUAAAUCAAUUAGGUCAUCACCAUUGUCUGUCUCUUGAGAUUUUUGAUCAGAUUCUUGAAUACUUGAUUUUUAGAAAUUUGUUCAUAAAUUUCUAAUAAUUCUUUUGGAUCUUUGCAUUUUAAUAACAUUAAAAUAGUCCUUUGUUUUUCAAUCAGAAAAUAUGCCUGAUCAUCUUGUUCUUUCGUUGAGAAUUUUGGGACACCCAAAUUUCUUUGUUCUUGAAUCUAUGAUUGAACUGCUUUUGGACAACAAUUUGUUUCUUUGUAUUUAGACCACCAUUUGACUUUGAAUCUUCUGGUAAUCUUUUGAGUGAAGUAUUCAUCAUUUUGAUUCUGCAGUAGAAAGAAAUCCCAGCAAAAAAUCCAGGAAACUUUCAUAUUGAAGGCAAAGUGGAACAAAACAUUUUCUUGAGGCUUUAAAAAUAUUUUAGCCUCUCUUUUGAAGUAUUCAUAUCCUUGAAGAGUAAGACUGAGUAAAAAUUUUUCUUCAAGUCCAUGAUACAAAAAUCAUGUUUGAAACCAUUUUGGAAAAUGAGGAUGACAAUUUUGAUUAAAAAUAAUGAACCAUGAAUGGGUAAUAGGUCUAAAGAAAAAGACUAUGUACCAGGCAUUGAUAUAAUUAAAAUAAUUGAAAUAUUUUAAAAGUUGUAAAAUAUGUUGAAGAGAGCUUAAGUCUCUUUUUUCCCAUGGGUUUUGUCCCCAGUCUUCGUAAGACAAUACCCUAAGAAUACUGAUUUUUGAAAACAUCGUUUCUUCUUUAUUUUGAGGAUCUGGAGUAUGAGAAAUUAUGGCUGAUCUUGUUUUCAAAAGGAUAGUCUCAUAAUAAUCUUGGGAUUUUUUGAAAUUUGAUGGCAUGAACCAAAAAUUGGUUGGAAAAAUGUUUGGAAGACAUUCGUCCAAAUUUUUGUAUCUAUGAAGCCAAUAUGUUUCCAUAUCAAGGGAAUUUUCAAAGAUACUUUUGGUAAAAUAUUGAAAAUUUUGAGAAGGGUUUAUUUGAGGAAGUUUUCCAGAGCUUUGGACGACUUUUUGUAGUUUGAAGGGGUAGCUUUAUUUUGAUUGGGUUUUUUGAUAAGAGUCGAAAGGGUAUUUGAGGAGGAAGAAGCUUCUUGAGCUUCAUUUGGAGAAUGAUCUUUUGAGAGAUCAUUAAUUGAGAAAAAAGGAGUAGAAUUUUUCUUUCUACUUUGUUUCUUUUGAAACGGAUUUUGAUCUUCUUCUUCAACUUGUUUCACACAACUCAUUUUCAUUUUUUUUGUGAAUGAACUCUCUUGUGAGGAAGUCUGCUAAGAAGUUUGAUUUCCCUUGUAUAUAUAAAAUUUCGAAAUCAAAACAGGACAAAAUAGCCUGCCAUCUUACAAAGAUUUGUUUAGAAACAAGAUUUUUCACAUCUUUUUGUAAAACAUCUUUUGAGGCUUUAGAAUCUGUUUUCAAAAUAAAUUUUUUAUUGAUAAGAUCGUCUUGAAAUUUUGAAAUACACAGUACUAUUGAAAGAAUUUCCUUUUUGAUAGUGGAGUAAUUCUUUUGAGGACCGGUCCACAUCCACUGUGAUACCUAACUAACUGUUCUUGAGAUGACCCUAGUGGGAUUUGCUUUAACAUGCCACCAUACCCAAUAUCUGAGGCAUCAGUCUCAAUAAUAAUUGAAGCUGUGGCGUCAAGUAUUGAAAGAUAUGGAAUAUUUUUAAUUGCUUUUUUGACUCUUUGAACUGCAACUGUGUGCUCGUAACUCUAUGGGUCAGGGUUGUUUUGUAGUCUUUUGAAUAAUGGGGCACAGAUUUGACGUAUACUUUUGACAUAAUUGACACAAUCUAAAAAGCGUUGCAAACUUGUUUUAUCUAUGAUUUCAUCUGAAAAUUUGUUAAUGAAAUCAAAACUUCUUUGAAUAGGAGUUAAAGUGUCAUUAUGAAUAUAAUGACCAAGAAAACGUAUUUUUGUUUGAAAUAAAACAAUCUUCUUAGCAGAAAACUGCUAAACCAUUUUUCUUAGUAACAGAAUGAAUGUAUGAAUAUGUUUAGAAUGUUGUUCUAUAUUUUCACAAAAUAUAAGAACAUGAUCAAUGUAAACAAUAAUGAAUUUUGAAAAAGGAUUGAAAAUAUCAUUCAUAAUUUUUUGAAAUUCAAAGAGAGCAUUUUUUAGACUGAAUGGCAUAACAUUCUAUUCAUAUUGUCCAAAAGGAACAUUGAAGGCAGUCUUGUAUCUGUCUUCUUCUUUAAUUUGAAUUUGCCAGAAACCUGACUUAAUAUCAAAUUUUGAAAAGAUGACAGCUUUACAAAAACGAUUCAAAAGAUCUUUCUUUUGAGGAAUAUGAUAUCUAAUCAUUGAAGAGCAGUAUUGAGGGGUUUAUAAUUAAUAACCAAACGAGGAACUCUACGUUCAAUUUCAGUAGAAUUAUUGAUGUAAAAAGCUGAACAGCUCCAAGGAGAUUUACUUGGUCGGAUUAAACCUUUCUCAAGUACAUCAUUUAUUUCUUUAAUACAAAAAUCAAGUAACUCUUUAUUCAUUUGAAUAGGACUUGAUUUUGUAGGAAUAUUUGAUUCAUGAAAAUCAGAAUUGUAAGGAAGAGAAGCAUGUUUCUUUCUAUCCCAGAAGGCAUUUGGAAUGGUUGAACAAAUUUCUUUUUCAAUUCUAUUUUUUAAUUCUGAAUUUUUUGCUUGAAGAAUAGACUCUUGCAAUCUGUUCUCCAUUUUUUGAAAUUGAAUUUCUUUUUUAAGAAAUUGAAUAUGAUUUCUUUUUAAAUUAAUAUUGUUGAUACUUUUUGAAAUAGCAGCCUCUUUUAAAGAAUUAAUAUCUUUAUAAGAAUGAGGAUUUGUAAAUUCAAAAAAUAUUUUUUGAUAAAAAACUUUUGUAGUUAAUCCUUUAUAAUUAGCUUUGAAAGGAUAAAUUUGAACAAUAAAAGGUGUACCAAGAAUAGAUUCUCGAUCCAAAUCCUUUACAAAAUAAAAAAUAGUUUUGAAACAAAUAUUUGAAUUACAAACAUGAGAUUUUGAAAUUUUAUAAUUGAUAUUAAGCUUUUUUUCACUAGCUUCAUAAAGACGCUUAGUGGUUUUUUCAAAGUAUUUUGUAGGAAACAAGUCUUCUUUGAUACAAUUUUGAUCUGCACCUGAAUCAAUAAGAACCUGUGUUGUAAAUUUGAAUUCUUUAUUUACAACAAUGGUCAUAUUGUAAUACCAUUUUUAAAGUUAAAUUUGGUUAAUAACGUUAACCUUUUCUUCUUCAGAUUUGAGAAGUUUGAAAUCAGAAUCUAAUGAACAAUCAGGUGAAAAUUUAGAAUGUUUUGAGGAAACUUUCAAUUUUCCUUUGAAUUUUGAAUAAAAUUCAUCAUUUAAGUUUUUUGCUUUCAUACAAACGACUUCCAUAUGAAUUUCUUUGACUUGAUUUUCAAGGUCUGAGAUUUUAGUUUUCAUACUCUUAAUCUCUUAUUGAAGAUCAGGAAUAGAAGGUUUAGAACCUUUAGAAAAUUCUUUUUGAGGUCGUUUGAGAAUUUGAUUGAUAUUGAUAUCAUCGAAAUCUUGUUUUGAAGUAGAAGGUAAAAGAGAGAAGAGUUUUUUCUUGAGAUUAGGAUUAUCAAUCCUAUCAAUGAUAUCUUGAAUAACUUCUUCUUCUCUAGAUAAAAUAUUUAUAGUUUUACAACCACAAAUUUCUUUUUCUGAGUUUGAAGAAAUAUCAGAUGAAUGAGGAAGAGGAGAAGAUUCAUAAUCAGAAUCUUCUUGAUUAAGAAAAACUUGUUCUAAUUCUGAGUUAGACUCAUUAUCAGAACUUGAUUCAAUAAGAUUGAGAAGUUGAGUUUUAGUAUCUUCAUCAAUUUGAAGAUUACUAAUCUUGGUUUUGAGUGGACAUUUAUUGGAAUAAUGACCAGUCUUAUUGCACUUCUAGUAAGUAAUAUUUGAAGAAUUUUUUGAAUUUUUCUUUUUUGAAAAAGGUUUUCUUUUGUUAGAAAAUUCUUCUGGAUAUUUUUUAAAAUAUUUUCUUUUAGAAAAUUUUCUAUUUUUAGAAAAAAAAUUUGAUUUUGAAGAUGGAGGAAUGAUCUUUUCAUAACCAUAUUGUUCACAAAAAUAUCCAAGUUCUUUUUGACUCUUAGACUUUUCUGCUUUCAAUUUGGCUUUGAGUUUUAAAUCAUUACACAAAUUUAAAGCUUCUUUAUUGAUAAAAUUAAUAAUUUCUCCAUAGGUAAGUGUUUGAAGGUCAUCAAAUUCUUGAAAAAUAGAAUUUUUUUACUCUUUCUGCAAAGAGUUAUGGAAGUCCAGAAAUGAAUUUUUCUUUCCAAAAAGAUUGUUGCCAAUCUUCUCUUAUCAUGAUACGAGAUAAAAACAUAUCUUUGUACCAUCGAAAAUCUUGUAGUUUUGGACAUCUUAAAUUUAUCAAAAUGUCAUUUUGCAUUUGAACAAUAUUUUCUGAAGUACCAAUAAAAAGUUUGAUAAUAGUUAAACCAAGAACGGUAAAACUAUCACUAAUCUCAUUUCCAUUUGUAUCAUUAUUUUCAUCACGUUUGACAGCAGAAAAGAUAAUAUCCUUCUCAGUUUGAGAAAGAUAAUUAUCCCACCAUUGACCAAGUUGUCUAGUGAAUCCAAGAACAAUAUUAUUAGUAGCAUCUCUUCUUGAAGUACCUUUUGUAAGAUAAAUUUUGUAACACAUGGUCAUUUGUCCCAUAAAAUUGAUAAUUUGAUAUUCAGUAAGUCCAUCGAGAUUCCACUCGACACUGAAAUUACCGCCAUAAGUUCUUUGAGGAUUAUCUUUUUCUUCAAAAAGCUGAUCAAGGAAUGAAGGACGAGGAUAAUAUUUUGGAAGAUUUUGAUAGUUAAAUUUUCUCAAUUUAUUAAUUGAAUCAUAUUUUUCAUCAAUAAAUUGAGCUUCAAUUUCAUCAAUGGUAUUGAUGUUUUUUGAAACAUGAAAUUUUUUUAAUUGAGUGGCAAGUUCAGAAAGAAUUUCACUUUCAGUUUGAAGAGUAGAAGAUUUUCCAAAUUAAGGAAUCAAAUCAUUACUUUUGAAAAUUGAAGAGGAAGAGGAUGAUGGUUUUGAUAAAUUCUUAUCUUUACUACUACUUUCUCUAAAUUCUUUAGAAGAAUCUUUUUGAGAAGUAAUAUUCUCAGAUUCAGAAUUUGAUUCGAUACAAUUGAGCUGAGAAAACAUAGAUUGAAGAACAAUAUUAGUAUAAUUGUUCUGAGAUUUGAUAUUUUUGAUAUCCUUAUCAACAACCUAAGAUUCAUCAUAUCGUUCUUUAGGAAUCCUCUUGAGGGGAGAUGCAAUGAUUUCAGUUUUUCCAUGAGGAAUAACUAUUUCUUGCAUAGGAGGACGAGUUGAUUGGAAAGUAUUUCCUUCUGGAGUUUUCCAAGUAUUGACACGAGUUUUUGAAGUAAAAAUUUUUAUUUUUUCUGGCCUUUUACCAAAAACUUUGAAUUGAAUCUAGUCAUAGAAACUUAAAUCAGUAGAAGAUUUGAAAUAAGAUUCUUUUUGUUUUUUUUCUCUGAAAAGUUUUCUAAGAUUUUUGAUACAAAUAACUGAUCAUUUUUGAAUUCUUUUCUUCUAUCAAUUUCAGAAGAAAUAACAUUACAUUAAUGUUCAAGAUUGGAGGAAGGAACCAUAUUUGAAAAAGUUGGUGAUUUUGGUUGAUCAUCCUUUUUUUUAUAUUUAUUUUGAUAAUGAGAUUUUGAAAUAACAGGAGUAAAAUCUGCUCAUUUGUAUGAAGAAUGAAAGGAUGAUCUGGGUUUUUCUUCAGAUCUAGUUGAGAAAAGACUUAGCAGAAUAAGAUCUUUGAAUCCUUGAAGAUGAUCCUUUGAAAAAGAAUCUUAGCUUUUCCAUCUGGAAAAGUAAGAAUUUGAUUUAGAGUUGUUCUAGUUUGAGCAAGAACAGGUGCUUGAACAUUAUCAAAAUUCCAUUCGAGUCCAUGGGAUUGAAGAUUCCAUGGAAUUCUUUUUGGAAUUUCGACAUUUGAGUGAAAAGGAUUGACUUCAACUAAAAGACUUUCAUCUCUUGGUGAAGAAUGAAGAGCUCCAAUAUUAAGUUGAGUUCAUAAGCUUAUAAUAUACUCUGUAUAUUACAGCAAAAGCAUUUGACCUACUAUCAAAUUCAAGAUUUUUUGUUUGAAUAUGAAGAUUGAGAGAAUCGAUAAUUGCUCCAUCAGUAAGUUUGAUAGAAAAGUUUGGAUAAUAGUUUGAAAAUACUGAACCACUUUCUAGAUUUGAUUCUAGAAGUGAAAGUAAUGAAUUUUCAAAAUUGAGAUGUCUCUUAUCUCUAAGAGUAAGUAAAAUUGGAACAUCAAGACCAAGUCUAAACAAGGGCUUGCCAGCUUUUUGAACUAAUCCAACAUGAAAAUAUUUAAAUUUCUUCCUGUGGGAUUCAAUAGCUUCUUUUGUAAGUAAAUUAAUGAAAGAAUUUUGACUAUUAAUUGAAAUAGUUUGUUCAAUAGUUUCGAUAACAUAAUUUUGAGAAAAAUCAAAUUUUCCUAUUUCAUAGAUGGUAUGUUUAUCCAUCUUUGGAAUAGUCCAAUUUUGAAGACAUUGUUCAAUUUGUGCAAUUUGAAGUUCAUGAGAAUUGAAAUCAUUAGAUGCAGAUGCAUGAUCAAUUUCUUCUUCUGUUUGAAAAAUAUUAGUUCUAUUCUCAUUUGAUUCAUUUUCACGUCUAUUUCUAGACCUCGAUCUCUUUAACAAAUUAGUAACUGAAGACAUAAUUGAAUAAAAAUGAAAUUACUAUAAAACAAAGUAAGAGGAUUAACAAGUUCUCCCCAAGCCUACAACGGGACCACCUUUCAACGCCUACACCGGCAACACGGGCUGACCAAAUCUUAAUAGCAAACGUUUAGGUUUGAACAAGGCUUUCCUAAAUAUCUUGUGCCUAUAGUGUUUGACAAUAAUAUCACUUUACUCUCUUAUGGCUCUGAUACCAAAAUAAAGAAGAAACGAUGUUUUCAAAAAUUAGUAUUCUUAGGGUAUUGUCUUACGAAGACUAGAGACAAAACCCAUGGGAAGAAAAGAGACUUAAGCUCUCUUCAAUAUAUUUUACAACUUCUGAAUAUUUCAAUUAUUUUGAUUAUAUCAAUGCCUGGUACAUAGUCUUUUUCUUUAGACAUGUUACUCAUUCAUGGUUCAUUCUUUUUAAUCAAAAUUGUCAUCCUCAUUUUCCAAAAUGGUUUCAAACAUGGUUUUUGUAUCAUGGAUUUGAAGAAAAAUUUUUACUCAGUCUUACUUUUCAAGGAUAUGAAUACUUCAAAAGAGAGGCUAAAAUAUUUUUAAAGUUUCAAGAAAAUGUUUUGUUCUAAUUUGCCUUCAAUAUGAAAGUUUUCUGGAUUUUUUGCUGGGAUUUCUUUCUACUACAGAAUCAAAAUAAUGAAUUCUUCACUCAAAAGAUUACCAGAAGAUUCAAAGUCAAAUGGUGGUUUAAAUUCAAAGAAACAAAUUGUUGUCCAAAAGCAGUUCAAUCAUGGAUUCAAGAACAAAGAAAUUUGGGUGUCCCAAAAUUCUCAAAGAAAGAACAAGAUAAUCAGGCAGAUUUUCUGACUGAAAAACAAAUGAUUAUUUCAAUGUUAUCAAAAUGCAAAGAUCCAAAAGAAUUAUUAGAAAUUGAUGAACAAAUUUCUAAAAAUGGAUCUAAAAAAUCAAGUACUCAAGAAUUUGAUCAAGAAUCUCAAGAGACAGACAAUGGUGAUGACCUAAUUGAUUUAGGUUAUGACGAAUUUCUUGUUCAAGAAAAGAGGAUCAAACGACUACAAGAACCCAGUUUUUUUCGAAGAAUUGAGAAAUUAGCGGAUCAAUAAAUCAAGGGAGAUUCUUUUCAAAUUAUGCAUGCCAACUAAUCAGCUUUUUCUCAAAAUAUUGUUGUCCAUUUCAAAAAAAGAUAACUUUAUUAAAGAAGGAAUCUUUCUUUUUAAAGUUAUUCAAAAGCUGGUAUCAUAUUUCAAGAUUUUUCAUUAUGUUGUCUCCCACUCAACUAUUCAAGAUUCUUUCCAGCAAAUGAAAGGAAUUUCAAGUCUGAAUUUCAAGUAUAAGAAGACUUCAAGAGUCCAUUUCAAGGCAGAGCGAAUUUGACAAUAGAAGUUUAUUUUCUUUGUUAUUUUUGUUCUCUAAACUUACAAAAUUGUAUUUCAAUUAUAAUAAACAUUUCUUUCUCAAUUUGAUCUCUUUCUCACUAUAUAUAUAUAUAUAUUUUUUAUUUUUAUUUUUAUUUUUAUUUUUAUUUUUAUUUUUAUUUUAUUUUAUUUUAUUUUUUUUGGGGGAUAAAUCAACCAUGACAUGUAUUAUUGAGAUGAAAGAAAAAAAUUACAGUAGGAGAGCACAUUAAACUCAUGUUUGGUUUAGAUAAUCGAAUUUUUAGUAAAUUUUGAUAAAAGUUUAUGGAAUGUGUGGUUGAAAAGUUAUGGAUCUCAUGAAAUACAUGGUUAUAAUUAAUGGUUUACUUUGACUUAGAUUUUAUUUUACCUUUUAAGCUGUACCAAAUAGGGACUGAUUAGUUGGAAGAUGAGUUACUUAGAUUGUGAGAUGAGUUACUUAGAUUGUGUUGAUGUUAGUGCAUAUCUCAAUUUCAUAAAAGCUUAAUGAAGACAACAAAAAUUAUUUUAAAAUACACGCAUUCCAAGUUUAUUAAAAUAUAAAACAUAAUACUUGUAAUGAAAGAUGGCUACACAUCGACAGUGUAGUCUCCCAAGCAAAGACUACAGUUUAUUUAAUUAAAACCAAAUUAAUGUAGUCUCCAGCAGAGAUCUACAUUUUUUUUUUUAAUUAAAGUCAGUUUAAUAUCAUGAAACAGAGUUUAUUAACUCAACCAGCUUCUUAGAUAGAUAAGUAAUUUAUCCCCCAGCUUUUUCAGCAAUGCAUCAAGCGAUUGCUAACUCCUUGAUGAAAGCCUCUUCCACUGUUGCACCAGUCAUCACCUCCUCAGUAAUUUUUAUUUUUUUAUUUUUUAUUGUUUGUUGUUGACAGAAUCUUCAAUUCAUGAGGGGAAUUUUAGUAAAAAAUAUAAGGAAGCUUUUUGUCUUGCUAGAUUCAAUCUGGAAGGCAACAUAUCAUUAAGUUUAUGUUCACAUGAUCUUAAUGUUGUUUGAUUUGUUUUGCUGGAUAUGUUAAAGGUGAAGAUUAUUAAGAAUUGAGUGUUGGUUGAUUUCUUUUGUUUCAAAAGGGUACUGAUUAGGAUUUGUGAUGUUAACAGUGAAUACUAAAUGUAAGGUCUGUUUGGAUGCUAAAAAGAUAAGUCUCUAUAAAGGUCGGCCCUAGUACGAUCUCACUCAAAUCAAUAUUACUCGAGUUUAAUAUACAUGAUUAAUUUUGAGCUACCAAACAAGCCCAAUAUUGUUAAGGUAAGCUGAUUUAAUUUAAAAAUUAAUAUUACACAUCAAGUAGUUAUUUUAAUGAGUUAUAACUUGAAUUUGCUUUAUCUAAAUUAACUUUUUCUCAAGUCCACAAUGUGUCAUUUAGUAUGAGUAUCGGAAUGAGUCCAAUAUUGAUAAGAUAAUUUUGAUGCUCUAAUAACUACACAUUUGAUACAAAUAAAUUAUUGAUCCCGAAACUGAUUUUCACUUUAAUCCCUCAAAAUCUCAAAUUUAUUAAAAGGUCCUUGGAUCAAAAUCAAAAGAAUCUAGUUAUGUUUUCACUCACUAAAUAAUCCUAACACGUCACAUUAUCGGCUAAAAAUUAUAUAUUUCUCACUAUUUUGCAAUCUAAUCCCUAAAUUUUGCACUUUUUAUAACUAGAAAUCAUUUUUCUCUUUACGAAUCAUCCUUACAAUAUUCAAAGGACUUCAAAUUAUGCUUCACAAAAAACUUAUUCAUGAUUUCUAAAUUGCACUUCAUUCAAGUUUUUUCAAUUAAUAAUUUUGAAGAUAACUAUAUACAUGACAUUUUUUUUUCACAAACGGGAUAAUUCCGCUAAAUAUUAUGUUAUUGUAGUCUCUAAAGUUGUUGAAAUUUUUUGAUUUUUAUUUUUUUUGCAAUUCUAUCUUUUGGAUUGUUACAAGGCCUCUUGUAAAAUAUAAAUCUAUUAUUUACUUAAACAUUUAAGUAUUUUUCCCGUUUGUAAAAAAAUUAUAUCUAAAGGUCUCAUAACGAUGACUCGUCUAGAGUCUCAAAAUUCUUGGGGCUGCCCUGGUCUCUAUAACUUAUCUCUAUAAUUUGAUCAUUUUGUAUCUUGGUUGUCAUUUUGAGACUGUUCUACUGAAGAGCAUUAUCCACUUUUGGGUAUGCUUAAUGAGGGAAUAGGUAUUGAGAGUGGUCAUGUAAACUAUGGGCAAAAAAUCAUUUGCGUUCAUUUUACUUUUCUACACUAAUUUUUGGUCUUUUUGAUUUUGGGGGUAUAAUCAUUAUUUCUAUUUCUGGGCAUUUCAGUUUAUAAUAAGCAUGUUUGGGGUAGCUUAUAAGCCUGAGAGAGAAAGAAAAUUAUAUGUGAAUCCACAAAUCUCUAUUAGCUAUUUGUCUGGGUGAUUUUCUUUAUCAUGUUAUAAUUGGUGUGAUACAAUCUCAAUUUCUAUUUCUAUUUCAAUUCUAACCAACAUCUUCAUGUCUUGAAUGUCACUUCAAGGAGCAUCCGACAAAAUUUGAACGUCUAUAUCCAAGGGAUAAAAAGCACAAGAUGAGAAAUGAUUUAUUAUUAUUUUCCAAAAAAAGAAACUCUAUCUUCUUUGGUACAAAGUUUCCUAUAUAGAUAUAUUAUCAAAUUUUGUCUCUGAAAAAAUUUAUUUUGUUGGUUCGAGUCCUUAAAAGUGUCAAUUUAUACUGGACUAUGCAUAGUAUCCCUUGAGGCUAGUCUUCUAUGCAACAAGCUCCAUUUAGUGGCAUAGAAUCGUGUUGCUCCGUGGCACAUAAAAUAUUUUAAUUUGAAUUGAAUCUGAAAUUAAAAAGAAAACAAAAAUGUGCUGAGUUUAGGAUUGCCUGUAAUGGUCUAGGAUGGCACAAAAUCUAGGGUUUGUGCCGGAUCCACAAAAGUAUGUUAUGCAUUAACAAGGUAAUUUAUGAGGGUGGCUAAAGUGAAUUCUAAGAAAUGGCAGUAAGAUUACUUUUAUAGGCUGCCAACAUUAUUGAUGGAAAUUUAGGCACAUUGGUACAAAGUGUAAGAUUAGGAGAAUAGAAUAAAGUGGGAUAUAUGUUAGAGAGAUUUGUAUUAAGGUGAAUUACGAAGUUAAUACGGUGUACAAAAAAAUAUUUAAGUACUAAAAAGUAAAAGAUAAAACAAAAAAUAUUGAUAAUAUUUUUAUUUAUAAAUAAUUUUUUAAUCAUAAACUAGUUUUCAUGUAUGAUUAAUUUUUUGACUUGUAAGCCAUUCUUUUCUUAUAAGUAAUUUUUAUUUUGUACUUACAAGUGGAUUUUUACUUUUAGCCAAAUAUUUUAUCAUUAAGUGAAUUAUUUUACUUGUCGUAGAUUUUGAAUUGUAAGUGUAUGUGUUCAUAAAUUUUUACUUAUUAGCAAAUUUUUACUUAGUAAAUAAAUUAUUUAACAUAGAAGUGAAUGUUUUACCUAUAAGUUAAAUUUUUACUUGUAAAUGAAUUUUUAAAUUUAUGAAUGAAUUUUUACUUAUAUGAUAUAAUUGAGACAAAUGUAAAAUUUUGCCUACCACGUGUUAUAUAUCUUUAAGAUAAGAUAUUUCCAAAACUAAUUUUAACUUCACAAAUGGGCCCCCAAGUUUUUGUCCAAAUAUAAAUACGACAAUUACGAGUGAACCAAUAUUUUAAUAAGUGAAGUUUCAGUUUCAUGGUCCUUCAUAUUAAAUGAUGAGCAGGUUCAAAGCUUUUAAAAGGUCUUUCAAUAUAAUUUUGAAAUUGAGUCAAAUGUAAAUAUUUUUCAUGAAUAUUUUUAUAUAGAUGUUUAUCCCAUGUUAUCUAAAUUAGAUUCCAUAUUUUUUAAAAUUAUAAUUGCACAAAUGGUCCUCAAGUCUUCUAUGCAAAUCUAAACACAACAAUCACGGCUGAACCAAAAUGGUCAUAUUAACAAUUAUUGGAUAAGGUACCGAUGCUUUUAAAAGGUCACAACCACAUAUUCAUAUCAAUGAGUGUCAUGUUAUCUAAAAUUUGGAUUAGACAUUUCCAAAACAAAUUUGAACUAAUUGUAGAAGUACUACCAACGUGUUGCGAAUAUAUGAAAUCAAGACUAUCAUUUUUAUCAUGACACAUCCUUUCCAUCACUUGUAGUACAAUUUCACCAUAAAAAAUGUUCGUGCAUUAUUCAGUUCUAAUUAAAUGUAAGAGAAGAAAGAAACAACAUAAAGACUUUAUAUUUAUCUAAAAUAACAAAAUGAUGAAAGGAAAAAGAAUUUCCCUUUCAUCUUCAUCUCUCUAAAACAAGUAGUUGAAAUGCAGAACUAGGACCAUCUCUCUUUCUCUCUCUUAAACUAUCCUCUCUUGCCAUAUUUCCCCACUCUAUAUUCUCAAAACACUAAUUCCACUUGGCCAUUCCCCCAAACCCAAACCUUAUUGAAUAAUAUUCAAUCUUGUAGUAGGGUAAUUGCUAUGUCCACAAGUAAAUCAGUCAUCUGAACAUCUGCCAAGAAAUAACAUUGAAUUUACACAGUGGAAAAAGUUGGGAUUUAAGCAAAUAACUCUUAAACUAGAGAAUUAUAUCAGAAUCGCUUUAGAAAUCAUUGGUUAAUUGGUGUGUCGCAUCUACCCAUAAACAUAACAAUUUUAAUGGUUUGGUUUGGGUUUCGAUACUUUAAUUGCAGUUGGAAACUGAACAUGAAUGAUUAUAUAAAUAUUAAUUUCUUUUUUUCAAAGUUGGUCUAAAUUGAACAUGGAUUGGAUCAGAAAAUUACUAUCUUGACCUCCAAAAAAAUAUGAUAUUAAAAAUUUAUUUUAAAUAUAGGUAAUUGAACGUUAUAAAACCAUUAGGUGUAGAUUUGAUGUUUUUCAAAUGCAAUUGUAUUACUAAAAAUUUUGUUAGAUACAUCAAUUUAAAAUUUUUUUUAUUUAGUUAAAUAACCUUAAGUAAAAUUACAUAAAUAUGGUUUUAAUACAUUUAUCAUGUAAAAUAAUUUAUUGUUAAACCACAAUCAUAAACCUAAUUUUCUUUCUUUCUUUUCCCUCAACAGCCAUGCCAUAGCUUUUCCGUCGGUGGCCUUUGCGUUCUAUCACGAUGGAAAAUAAUUAUGUUUUUAGUCUGACUUUAUACAUGUUUGGGCAGCUAAGAGAGUUCUUUAGGCCGUCUAAUUGAGUUCUGAUAAUCUUGUUUUUAUUUAUUUCAGAUUCUGUUUCCUCUAGGAAGGAUACUUGUAACAAUUUUCAGAUGUUUGUGGUUACAUCAUGUUUGUGGUUACAUCAUUUAUAACACUUAUAAUUGGAGCAAAUGAAGCCAAGGCAGCCGAUUCAAUGUAGGCAAGUAAACAUAAAUUAUUUAAUGUCGUCUUGAAUUCUUACGUUAAACAGGAAGAUGACAUCUAGUAUGAGGCUUUCUACCAAGUGUGUGUCUUUCCAUCACUUGUAUUACAAUUUCUCCAUAAAACUUUUAAAAAAAAUAAAAAUAAAUCAUGCAUUUUUCACUUUUAAUUUAAAUGUAAGAAACGAAAGAAACAACAUAAAGACUUCUUCUUCAUCUAAAAUAACAAAAUGAUAAAAGCAAAAAGAAUUUUCUUUUCAUCUUCAUCUGUCUAAAACAAUUGCAACAGAAAUGUAGAAACCCUGUCUCGCCAUAUUUCCCCACUCUAUAUUCUCAAAACACUAAUUUAAUGAUGUCGUUCCAGCUACGAUAUUUUAAUUGUAGUUGGAAACUCAACAUGAUUGAUUAAAAAUAUUAAAUAAACUAAAUACAAAUAUUAAUUUUUUUUUUUCAAAAUUUGUCUAAAUUGAACAUGGAUUGGACCACAAAUUACUGUCUUAACCUCUAAAAAAAUUAUGAAUGCUAAAAUGUUAAUUUAAAUAUAGGUAAUUUUGUCAAUUGUCACUUACCAACUACCCUAAUUUCCUACACCAAUCAAUCCUUCAUGAUUGAUAGUUCAUACUUUAGACUCCAAACCCUCUUUACACUUGAAAUGUUGAAGGCUAAAAAGCUCUGCAAUAUCAUUGAUUAAUAGAUAUUUUGUAUAUAUGUGUUUAUGUGUUGGGGGGGAGCGUUUGUUUGUUUCAUUGUCAAUAAUGUGGGAAUAAAAAGUGAAUUAAAAAAAAGUACAUCGAAAAACGAAAAUUUAAAACGUAAUAAAACAUAAGGUGUAGGUUUGAUGUUUCUCAUGGGCAAUUCUAUAACUACUACAAAUUUUGUUAGUUACACCACAAUUUUGGGUUUGUUUUUUAUUUACUUAAAUAGCCUUAAAUAAAAUUACAUAAAUGAUGUUUUAAAAUAUUUAUCACAUAAAAUAAUUUAUUGCUACACCAUGAUAAGUGCAUUUUGUGUACUUAACGAGUCAUAUUACUAAGCUUUCAUGUCGUGAAAUUAUUGAAUUUUACUUAUUUUUGAUUACUUUUUGUUUGCUUCAGUGUUUGACCAGUUUUGAAGCAAUUGGAGAAGAAAAUGAUCAAUUGGCUAUUAAAUAGAAGUUUGUGGACCAAAUCUCACUUGAAUAAAAGUUGGAGAAUCAAAAUUGAGAGUGAACUCAAGGACUAAAGUGCACUAAUUUAAAAGAAGUAAGGACUUGAAGGGAAAGUGACACUUAGUUGGGCUUUGAAAUUGGACUUGCAAUAGGAGUGAAAUUGAUGAGGAAUUGGAUUCUUUUCCAGUUGGAGUAAUAAUUGGCAAUUGAUGGGAAUAGAAUUAAGGGGUAAUUACAUAAAUACCCACAAAAUGGGAGUCAUUUAGAAAAAUCAUGAUAAAAGUUAUUUUGAAGUAAAAAAUACGGUAAUUUUUUCAUUUAGUGUUCAACGGUAAUUUUAUUAAAUUGAAUCUGAAAUUAAAAAGAAAGUCAAAUGUGUUGCCCUAGCAAAAACUCAUAUUUUGACGGUUUAACACGACACGACCCGACAAAAAUUAGGGGUUGCGCCCAAUUCAUGGAAGUUGUUUGAGGAGAAUUCACAAAGCAUGCAGGUAGUGAGAUAUUAAUGACCACAAAAGGAAAUAAAAUCAUGUAAGUGUGCAUUAACAAGACAAAUGAGGAGGGCAGCUAAAGUAAAUUCUAAGAAACGACAGUAAAGUAAAUUUAGGGCAUCGUCGUAUAAAGUGCAAGAUCAAGAGAAUAGAAUAAGGGGGGGAUUUGUGUUACAGAUAUUUGUAUCAAGGUGGAUUAUGAUAUACUAUUUUAUAACAGUGUUUGAUAUUAUACCAUAUCAAAAAAAUACUCAUAUAUCAAAAACAUUUUAACAAUAAAUAUACACACACAUACACGUUUCAUAAACUUAUGAGUCAUUCUUUACUUUUCAGUGAAUUUUUAUUUUUAACCGAAUGUUUUAUAUACAAGGUGAAUUUUUAUACUUAUAGUAUAUUUUUACUUUUUCAUAUCAUUGCAUAAUCGAGACAAAUGUAAAAAAAAUAAAAAAAUAAAAAAACUAAAAAAACAUAAAAAAAUUCAAUCAUAUCUCUAUGUCAAUGAGUAUCUCGUGUUAUCUAAAUUUUUUAUUAGGUCCUUGUGCCCUAUUUUUCUUCCAAAAAAACAUCAUUAUUUUUCAAAAGAUAUAUCGGUCCUUUUUUACUUACAUUUUAAUGAAAUGUUGAAGGCUUUCUAUCACAAGAGAGAAAGUAAUUUUCAAAUUAAGCAUCUAUUUUGUAGAAAUUAAAAUUAAUUUCAAUCAAAGCCAACAAUUAAUUUUAACUACAUAUUUUACGGGCCUCAUAACUUUUCAAUCACACAGUUAUCAACUAUUAUCAUAAUUUAUUAAAAUCUAAUUUUAAUCCCCAUCAAAUAGGGGGUCAAAAUUGUGCAUUUUGUAUAAAUUCCAUUUUACUAUCUGAUGAAAGUAAAUUACGUGAACCAUCAAGGGUAAAAUCGAUAAUUUGGAUGAGCUAUAUAUCUAUCCUACUCAACCUACUGUAACGUAAAUUUUAUCGGCCUCAUUUUUAUUAUUUCAAAAGUCAACAUCAUAUCUAGCAAAAUUUCAAAAUAAUAUCCAAAAUAGAAGCAUCUACGGAUAUAUCCUAGACUAAUUUGUACCACAAAUGGUCGCCCAAGUCCUUUGUCUAAAUAAGUCUGAACAUCUACGGAUCUAUUGAAUUAAAUGCUAGAAAAGAAACAACACAAUAUAGAAACUUUUGUUCAUCUAACAUAAUAAAAUAAAAAGGGAAAUUAUUUGUUUUAUAGAUACAUUAUAUAUACGAAGCUUGUUUUCAAAAUGUUUAUAAAUAAUUUAAUUUAUAAAUAAAAUAAAAAUAAGUUGUGGAUAAGUAGCUAGAUAUUACUUAUAGGUCCCAAUAAUUUGUGGGAAAAAAUAAUUUAAUUGUUUAUUAACAGUUUAUAAACAUUAUCUAAACAUAGGAAAAGAAUGAAAGGAGAAUGUUGAUAAAGGAAUUACCUAGAAUGCGUAUGGACAAAAUUUUCCCUUAAGAAAUAAGGCAUGUGCACACAAACCACUUUGACAAAUCAAUUGGAUGGCAGUUAACGAAAAUGAUAAUUUUGUAGUAAAAGAUUCAAAUGAGGACGGCAGGGCUUUUGGAAACAAGGUCCAUACGCAUCUAAUAGGUUUACCUUUUAGAAUGAAACACCAGUCCCAUAUGAAUGCACAAGAAGGAUCUCAAGUUUGCAGUUGAAUGGAUGAAGCUGCCCUAAGUUGGAUCAUGAUGAGGAAAAAAAUUCAUAGUUGGUUCUUAAGAUUUAUGGUUGUAGAAGAAAAAAUUCACCUAACUUUUCCUGAGUGAAAUAAACAAGAUGAUUGAAGAGGUGAAACUGUGGCGUAGGCACAUUAUUCAAUUUAAAGAGAAACGGAAGAAAUCCUAUUUGAGGGCUUUGGACAAUUCGAAGUGAAGUUGGAGAUUCAUAAGAAUCAACAUGGUAUUAGUCAAUUAGAAUAUAAUUUGUAUUCAUAUGUCCACAUAAAGUAGGUUUUUUAGCUUUCUAUUUGUAAUGAAAGUACGUAUAAAUCUAUAUUACAUAAAAACUAAAAUUUCCUUUCGUCUCCCUAUAAAUAAAGUGUUUAUUUCACCAUUUAUUUAUCCCAAAUUUUUACGAUAUUUUUAGCAAAGCACCAUCACAAUCUCGAUGUAUUUUUCAGGCUCCACUAAUAUAAGACAAAGGGCAUUAUAAUUUUUCUACCAAAAUAUGAAUGGAACGUUAGUGAGUACAAGGGAAAAGGACAUAAACUGGACCUCUAAUCAAAAGUACAAAAGAAAAAAAAAUAUUAAAUAGGGAAUUACUACCUCCUAUACUAUAUAAAGAAAGAAUAAUAGAGCCUAAAUACCAUUUAAAGCGGAAGGCCAUAUUUGUGAAUUUGUACAAGGACAAUAAGUCGUCGAGGUAAGUUGAGAAUGCUAUACUCCUAGUGCUGCGUCAAUUGCAUCCAUCUGAAGUAAGUGAAUUAGCAAUAUGGUUUUCCUCUUGAUAUAUGUAUAAAAUAGGAUCACGAUCGAAGGAAAAAGUUGUAUGAUAUAUCUAAGAGUAUUGUGGAUAAACCAUGAUCCUCUACCACUGGUAAUGUAGGUCGUAGCUAUAAAGAAGCAUGUCUAUCCUCAAGUCCUAAAAUCCAAGUCAACAUGCAAGAUGGAUCCAAUCAAGAAGCUUACAGAUCAACAUAAAAUGAAGUGAAGGCACGAAUACCACCAUCUAUUAUAGAGUGACUAAAUAAUAUUCUUCCAUAUUAAAGUGUUAUAUUGUUACUUCUAUAAAAAUAAUAAUACAAUAUUCUUCUAUAAUACUUUUACGAAAUAAAUUUCAUUCAAGAAAACUCAUCUAUCAAUUAGUAUAGACAAAAUAAAAUUUACUUCUUUGUUAUACAAUUCAAAAUUAAGAGAAUACUUAUAUUUUUUUUGAAGAAAAAAAGUGUUUCUUUAUGAGCUCAAUUGUUAAAAUUUUGUGUCUUUCUUUCAACAUAAGAGAAAUUGCUUUUUCCUAACUCAACUUAAUUAGGGAUUCGAAAGCAAAAAGAUGAAUAAGUUUCACUAACUUAGUUGACUAGAACUUCAUGCUGAUAGUAUAAAUAAGUUAGCGGAAAAUAAUAAAGUAGAGAAGUAAUUAAGCAUACGAGCAUUUUAAUAAAAAAAUCAAAACUCUAUAUAUGGGGAAGAACUAGGAUGGUAAUGAAUAAAAUAGUCAUAUAACUAGGGUUGCAGGUAUAUAAUGAUAAUUUAUUAGUAUAUAAUUUUCAGCAAUUUGUUUAUUGUCUAUUUUAAUUAAUAAAUGGUAUUAUUUAUUUCCAAACCUACUUGUCUUAUUAUAGUCAGCAAAUGUUAUUUCAACAAACCUCUAGGAUGCAAAUGCACUUUUCCUAUAUUUGUUUGAGAUAAGGUAGUGAUAAGAAUUUAUUUGUUUAUUUAUUUAUUUAUUUUUUGGGAGGAUAAACCAACCACAUUCCGUGGCAUGUAUUAAUAAAAUGAAAGAAAAAUUAUUACAAUAGGGGAUACAUUAAGCUCCUGUUUGAUUUCGAUAAAUAACAUAAUUUUAGUAGAUUUUUAUAAAAAUUGAUGGCAUGCGAAGUGAGAAAGUUAUAGAUCCUAUGAAAUGUAUAGUUAUAAUUAAUUAUUGAGUUUGAUUUAGAUUUUAGUUGACUUUUGAGUUGGACCAAAGAGGAACUAAAUUAGUUGGAAGAUUUGGUACUCGUAUUAUUUUGAUGUUAGUGUUGAUCUCAAUUUGGUAAAAACUUAAAGAAGACAACAAAAAAUGUUUCACAAUAUACUCAUUCCAAGUUUAUUGAAAUAUACAACAUGAUACGGGUAAAUAAAGAUGGCUACAUUUCCACGAUGUAGUCUCCAAGCAAAAACUACAGUUUAUUUAAUUAAAGCGAGCUUAAUGUAGUCUCCAAGUAGAGAUCUACAGUUUAUUUAACUCAACCAGCUUCACAGAUAGAUAAGUAAUUUAUUCGGCUGCUGUUGCAGCAAAGCAUCAAGCGAUUACUAUCUCCUCGACGAAAGGCUCUUCAUUUGGGCAAAUUUUUCCGCAUGAACACUGGUCGUUAAAUGCUGAGCAGCAUCCUCCUGGAAAACCCUGAAGCUUGCAGAAUUGUUUACAAAGAUCCACGUCACAACGUCGAACUAGAACAUCCUCCACGAGAGGACGACUCGUGAUACGUGGACAAACUCCUGUGCAACGACACGGACCAGAUGGUCCUGGGCAGCAUGCUGGCUUACCAAAAAGUGAGCAAUAUUUUCUACAAAGAUCCCAGUUACAUUGUUUCGCAUCCACCACAAGAGGACCACUCAUAUCUGUUUAAAACAAGGAAAGAGUAUGAGAUACAGAAACACAGUUUAAUAUAUAAUAUAGUCCAAAGUAAACAAAUACGAAUGCUUUGCUAGCCUGCUAUGAAAAUUAAAGUUGUUCUGAUUAUUUCAAAUUUGGUAAAUUAACAUGUAUAUAGUAUGUAACAAGCUAUGGAGUUGAAUAAAUUACGAACCAGUGGACAGGGAAACCAACAGCAGGAGGGACACUAUUGCAAAUGACCUCACAGAGAACUCCAUAAUUAAGAAAGAGAGAGAGAUAAUAGGAAGCUUGAGUGAAAGACUCCCUGCUUGCGUCUCUUUAUAUAAUGUUUUAAGCGUGCUACCAAAAUUGAUAUAAAAUGUUGGAAAAAUGCUUGUUGUACAUUAUCAUAUUUACAUAAUUUUUUACAGAUUGAUGUAUAAUUUUUAAUUUUUUUUAGUUGAAAGAUUUUGACCCAAACAAAUCUCGUCACAUUAUCUGUCUGUAAACAAAUAUGUAAAUUGUGAUAUAUAUGUAGUACAAACUUUUACGUAAAACACAACUUUUUUAAUGGAGGGUUUGCACAAGAUGUUGACACGUGGACUUGUUGAGGCUUUUAGAUUUACUUUUGGAUAACUUUGCAUGUAACUUUUGAGAGAAACUGCUACAGUUUCUUGGUUCUCCUUCUUUCUUGAAAACUUCACUCGAGAUUCCUAAUAUCCUGCUCCUCCUUUCUGACUUUCGGUUUCUUACUUGGUGAAGAUGAUUAAGAACUAACUGUUCUUUGAUUUGUUUUGUUCUAAAUGGGUAGAUUAGGAUUUGUGGUGUUAUCAGGAAUCGUAAACUUAGGGUAUGUUUGGAUCUAAAAAAAAUUAAGUCACCAUAACUUUAUCUUUUGUAAUUUGACCAUUUUGUAUUUGGAUAUCAUUUUGAGACUGUUCUACUAUAGAGCAUUAUUUUAAUAUUGUGUUUCGUAUUAUACCACAUUAGAAAAAUAAUAUACGAGUACUAAAAGCUGAAAAAAAAAUAUUUUAUGUAUAAAUAAUCUAUAAUCGUAAUUUUAUUGACUAUAUUUUUAUGUAUAGUUAAUUUUUGACUUCUAUGUCAUUCUUUUCUUAUAAGUAAUUUGUAUUUUUGUACUUACAACUAAAUUUUUUUACUUUUAGCCAAAGACUUUACCUGUAAGUGUAUUAUUUUUCUCAUCGUAGAUUUUACUAUUGUUAGUGUAAUUAUGCAUAAUUUUUAGUAAAGUUUUAUUUUCUAUAAAUUAUUUAACAUAGAAGUGAGUGUUUUAUAAAAACCUUAAUUUUUUACUUGUGAGUGAAUAAUUUUUCAAUUUUUGAGUUAAUUUUUACUUGUAUAAAUGGUCUUUUCAUGUCAUUGUAUAAUUGAGACAGACGUAAAGACUAUAAGCACGUUAUACAAAUUUUGGAUUAGAUAUUAAUGGUAAAAAUGGUCCUCAUUUCUUUUGUCCAAAUCUAAGCACAAAAAUCACGUGAACUAAAUCUAGUAAGUGAAGUUUCAGUUUUGUGGUCCUUCAUAAUUAAAGACGAGUAGAUACAAAUUGACGAGAAGACGACACAACUCAAGAUCAUUAAAAGGAUUCUAGAUUGGAUGGAUGUAUUCAUCUUUUUUCUUCUCUAUCAUCAAAACUUUAUAUUCUUGUUAUUGAUUGUGUCCAGCUUAACUCAAUUAUCUACACCAUGUCAAUUCAAAGUUGCUCAUUUUUUGUUAAAUUCUUGUUAUUUGUGUUGCUUGUUUUUUAUUUUAUUAUUUUAUUUUGAUGAUUGUUCAACAUUAAAAUGUGUUUGUGAUUUAUAUUAUUUUCUAGGGGUUCGAUAUAAAUUAGCUUAUGGUAAUAAACAACAUAGGGUAUGCUAGUUGAUAGAAAAAUAUUUGUUUCAUUUCAUCUUAACAUUGCCAGAGUCAUAAUCAUACAGAAGUUGUAUAAUGGAAGUUUGGACAAUCUUUUGAGAAGUUAUGUAGAAAAUGAUACGAAAAUGAGACAUUAUUUUCCAUGAAUUUAAAUUCAUUUAUAAUUAAUUUACUAGCCAAACUACUAAAGAAAGCACACUUAUAGUUGUUUAUGGCCAAUAUCUCUUAAGUGCUUUGGACUUGACUCUACAUCCUGUUACUCAUCAUUCUAGUGGAGACACUAAACAAAGAGAAGUUUAUUAAGAAAAUGCAUGAUCAAGUUCAACAUACGACAUGAAAGAAAAAUGAGAAGUACAUGAAGAUUGCGAACAAGCACCACAAAUUCAUUAUACAACAAGCUUAAUUCCUCAUUUUGUGUAGUGAUAUUUCUUGGGUGUUGAUAACAAGAAGUAUUAAAUAGAGAUAUAAUAGAAAAUUAAGUGAUUAAUUAUACUAUUAACAAGGAAAGAGGCCUAUAAUUUGAGACUAUUACGAAGAAAAUUGGAACCGGAUUAAUAAAAUACUAAUGUGUUGGAGAAAAUACGAGAUUAUAAGUAUAAUUUGAAAUAAAGAAUGCAAGAAAAAUGUAAUUUGCAGAGAAUAGAGAUUUUAAUACAAUAUGGAGAAAGAAUACAAUUUUUUUUAUAUUUACAAUGUUUCUAACUUCUUCUAAAUUAUAAUGAAGAGCCAACUAUAUAUAGGGGAUAUCCAAAACUUAAUAGGAGAGUGAUGGUUGAAGUAGAAUGCAAGAAAUGACAUUAAAAAUUGAAUAGGAGACAAAACAAAGCACACUCCCUAUUUCUAUAUAUUGAGGCGCGGACCCGGUAUUUCAAUAUAAAGUUGUCAGCCCCUACGCCCCUCGUCUCCAUUCCAAACAACUUUCAAGGAUGUUUUUCUUCAUUCCAAAGUCCUUUUCAAGUCUACUUGAAAUUUGGAUUUUUAAAUAGAACCUUAUCUAAAAUUUAUCAAAUAGGCAUUGAACAGGUUUUCCAAAAAAAAUUCCAAAUAGAAUUUCUCUUAACGUACAAAUUUGCCAUCUAUGGCUUUUAAAACUUUUUGUUGAACCAAAAUUCCCCUUAUCUUUUGUUGCCGAAAUGAAAAAUCUUCUUUCCCAUUGAAAAUCCAACUUUGAAAUGUGAAGACGUUUUGAGAAAAUCGAACAACCAAAUGCACAGAUAAGUCACACAAAGUAAUCCUAAAAUCGCAGUAUACACCGUUCUAAAUUCCUAGGGUUUUGUAAGAUUCGCUAUUUUAGAUCAAGAAAAUGUUCAAACGGAUCAAGUCCACGUGUUCUAAUAGGAUAAUCAAUGCAACACGAAUGUAUAUUAACAAAAAAUUAAAAUUCUCACAUAUAUAGUCUCACACAGUGACUAUAUAACAAUUAGAGCAGAAACUUAAUUACCAAUUUGCGAUCAAAUUCAACACUUCAAACAUGGCAAAUAAACCCUAAAUUUCAAGCAUAAGCAAUGUUACCCCUUACGAUAACCAAAUCCUAAUGUCACCCCCACACAAUAACACGCUAAUGCUAAAAUUUAAAUUGGAAUAAACUAAUAUACCAAAGCGUACCAAUCUGAGCUCAUAAAUUACGAGGGAUACAAAUUUAUCACUUUAGAACUACUACUAUUCGUCCUAAAGUCUCCAUUAAUUGCAGGUAUCAAUCAGCCACAAUCGACUCCCGAACGUGCGAAGAAUAAAUCUAUCUAGAUUCCACUGUAUAACCUAAAAUAGAAAACUAAUGACACCAAAAUAUCAGAAAUGAUGUUAGGAAGAAACUGCCUUAAGAGAUCUCCCGCCUGCAAACAAAUCGCGCGCCCUCAAGUGCAGUCAAGUUAUUCUGCUCGUUGGUCUCACUUCUUCAUCGAUCACACGCAUGACAGUUGGUGCCGGACCGCUGUACGUCACACUAGUGAUCUCCGUUUCACCACCACUGGAUUGGGCGAAAAUUGCACAAAUAGAUCUGAUUUUUACAUAGUUUUUUGACAAUUUUUUUAUCCUUUUUUGGCCCGUUUCUACCUAUUUCCUGGAUUUUUUUGGUAUGUUUCACAAAUCAAAUCCACCAUCUUGAAGCUGUGAUACCAAUUUUCCCUAAAGCUUGCUCUAAGAAUCAUCAAAAUGGUGUUUUUUUAAGCUUAGUUUAGUGUCACCUUUCUCUACUAAACAACCAAUCCAAUUGACUCCAAUUCACAACUUCGGUUGCUUCUUAAACUCACUCACUAAGGACAAGAUAAUGAUAAUGAUUUGCUACCUCAAUGGCAAGAAGAAAACACCACAAAGGAGGCAAGGAAGAGAUCAAAAUCAAGGAGCUAACCAUUGGGUUUUUUUUUACACAAAGGCAACUGACUUUUUCUCUCAAUGGGCAGCCACGUUUUCUUCACUUUUCUCGGACAAAUCAUACUACAAAAUGGCUAGGGUUAGGACCAUAUAAAAAGGGUUAGGUUAGGCUUUUAGUUAGACUAAUAAUAAAGCUAAAUGGGCCAAGAUUCAAAGUCAUCCAAGAGGGAAUAUAAAUGGGCCGGGUAGAGCGCUGGAUUUGGUUGUUGGUACUUAUUUCACUCAUCAUUCAAGGCCUAUGAAAUAUAUAUUUCCAUGUUAACAUCAUAGCCCGAAAUUACACAACCCUUAGUGCAGAUCUCAAUUUGAUAAAAACUUAAAGAAGACAACAAAAAUUAUUUUACAAUAUACUCAUUCCAAGUUUAUUAAAAUGCUAAGCAUAAUACUUGUAAUUAAAGAUGGAUACACAUGGACAAUGUAGUUUCCAAGCAGAGACUACACUUUAAUGCAGUCUCUAAGCAAAUAUCUAUGUUUUAUUUAAUUAAAGACAAUGUAAUAUCACGAAACAGAGUUCAUUAAUUCAACAAACUUCUUAGAUAGAUAAGUAAUUUAUUCUCCAACUUUUGCAGCAAUGCAUCAAGCGAUUACUAUCUCCUUGAUGGAAGGCUCCUCCACUGUUGCUCUACUCAUCACCUCCUCAGUAAUUACUUUUUUAUACAGUGCAAUUCAUGAGGGGAAUUUUAGUGCAAAACACAAGGAAGCUUUUUGUCUUGCGAGAUUCAAUCUGCAAGGCAACAUAUCAUUAAGUUUAUGUUCACAUAAACUUAAUAUAAAGGCAAGAUCACACGAUAUUAAAUUCAAGAAACAAGAAAACCUUAAUCAAACAGAAAUAAAACAUUAGAAAAAUGCCACUCUGCCUGAAAAUGUUUUGACACUAGGUGUGAUUGUCUAUCCUCACAAAGUGUGAGGGUUCCACAUGAAUUAAAUAAUGUCCAACCCUCGAGGUGGGUGUGUUCAGUCAUUUCUUAUGUCAAUCAUUAUGUUCCUCUAGCUUGAUCAAAAAAAUUAGGGUCGCGCCAAAUUCACGAAAGUUGUUUGAGGAGAAUUCACAACAUAGGCAAGUAGUGAGAUAUUAAUGACCACAAAAGGAAAUAAAGUCAUGUAUGUGUGCAUUAACAAGACAAUUGAUGUUUAUUUAUUUUAUUUUUAACUGAAUGUACUUUUGAGUCAUUCUUUACUUUUCAGUGAAUUUUUUAUUUUUUAUUUUUAACUGAACGUUUUAUUUACAAGGGGAAUUUUUUUACUUAUAAUAUAUUUUUUACUAUUCAUAUCAUUGCAUAAUUGAGACCCAAAAAAAAAAAAUCAAUCUUAUUUUUAUGCAAAUGAGUGUCUUUCAAAUUAAGCCUCUAUUUUGUAGAUAUUGAAAUUAGGAUUUUAAUCUAAAUCAAUGUCAACAAUUGAUUUUAACCACAUAUUUUAUGGACCUCAAAAAUUUUCAAUCCUGUAUCAACUUUUAUUAAAAUCUAAUUUACUAUCAAACAGGGAUCAAAUUUGUGCAUUUUGUAUUAAAUUCCAUUUUGCUCUAAUGAAAGUAAAUUACGUGAACCAUAGAGGGUAAAAUCGACAAAAUGGAUGAGCUAUCUAUCUAUCCUACUCAACCUACUGAAACGUAAAUUUUGUCGGCCUCAUAUAGAUAUAUAUAUACACACACAAAACGUCCCUACCUUUUGUUUUUUUGGCGCAUUUCAUUCCUACCUUUACCUUUUCUUGUGGAAAACAUCAUUUUCAUCAUUUUUCUCAAUAAAAAGUUAUAAAAGGACUAAUAUUCCCUUCUAUUUAAAUUUAAAAAAAUAAAGAACUAAUUGCAAUCAUAGUUCCAAUUUUUAAAAAAGUUCAAAGGAGAAAGUGGAGGUGGAGAAUUUUUUUUAUCUUUUUAUUUGAAACUACAAUUGCAUUUAGGUCUUUAUUUUUUUUAUUUAAAUAGAACGGUAUAUUAGUCAUUUUAUAGCUUUUUAUUGAGAAAAAUGAUGAAAAUGAUAUUUUGCACAAGAAAAUGUAAAGGUAGAGAUGAAAUACGCCAAAAAACGAAAGGUAGGGACGUUUUCCACAAAAAUCAUGAAAGGAAGGGACGUUUUAUGCUAAUUACCUUACAUAUAUAUAUAUAUAUAGACUAAUUUGUACCACAAUUGGUCUCCCAAGUCUUCUGUCUAAAUAAAUAUAUACACUACAAUCACAAGUGAACAGAAAUUAGAAUAAGUGAAGUAAGUUCUAGUUUCGAUUUUACCAUUUGUACAAGAAAAAUGCACAUAAGGUUUUACAAGUGUUGAGUACCAUAAUUGCUUUGAAAGUCUUUUCAUAUCAUAUAAUUGAGGUAAAUGUAAAAUUUUUCAAACCUUCAUGAAUUAUUGAAUAAAUGUUUGAAAAGAAACGAAACAAUAUAGAAAUUUUUUGUUCAUCUAAAAUAAUAAAAUAAAAAAGGAAAUUAUUUAUAUUAUAGAUAUAUUAUAUAUAAGAAGCAUGUUUCCGAAAUAUUUAUAAAUAAAAUAGAAAUAAAUGGUGGAUAAGUAGGUAUUACUUAUGGUUUCCAAUAAUUUGUGGUUAAAAAUAAUUUGUUCGUUUAUAAAUAGUUUAUAAACAUUAUCUAAACAUAAGGAAAGAAUGAAAGGAGAAUGCUGAUGCGGGAAUUGCCUAGAAUGCGUAUGGAUAAAAUUUUCCCUUAAGAAAUAAGGCCUGUGCACACAAACCAUUUUGACAAAUAAAUUAGAUGGUAGUUGAUGAAAAUGAUAAUUUUUGUAGUAAAAGAUUCAAAAUGGGGACGACAGGGCUGUUGCUAGGAGUUCAACAAAUUCGCACACGGUAUUUUCUUGAAAUUGAUGAAGGGUGUGUGGUGGAAAAUUUGUGUCGAAGCCUUGGUGAACUCCUAGAAAAGGCAACUAAGAAGUUUCGCCAUAAUUUCUAGCUAGGUUAUCGGCAUGGAAGGAUUUGAAAUUUUUAGAACUUAGUGAUUCCACAAGCAUAUAUACAUUAUGGUGGCGUAUGUUGGUUCUCAGUCUUAAGAAUUAUGGUCGUAGAAGAAAAAAUUCAAGACACUUUUCGUGAGUGAAAUAAACAAGAUGAUUGAAGAGACGAAACAGUGGUGUAGGCACAUUAUUCGAUUCAAAGAGAAAUGGAAGAAAUCCUAUUUGGAGGCUUUUGACAAUUCAAAGUGAAGUUGGAGAUUUGUAAGAAUCGACAUGGUAUUAGUCGGUUGGGAUAUAAUUUGUAUUUAUAUGUCAACAUAAAGUAGGUUUUUAGCUUUCUAUUUGUAAUGAAAGUUUUUAUAAAUCUAUAUUAAAUAAAAACUAAAUUUUACUUUUGUCUCCCUAUAAAUAAGUGUUUCUUUCAGCAUUUAUUUACCCCAAUUUUGUAUGAUAUUUUUAGCAAAGCACCACUACAAUCUCAAUAUAUUUUUCACGCUCCGCUAAGUUAAGAUGAAGGGCAUUAUAAUUUUUCUACCAAAAUAUGAAUGGAACAUUAGUAGGUACAAGGGAAAAAGGACAUAAACUUGACCUCUAAUCAAAAGUACAAAAGACAAAAAUAUUAAAUAGGGAAUUACUACCUCCUAUACUAUAUAAAGCAAGAAAAAUAGAGCCUAACAGACCAUACUUGUCAAUGUGUACAGUGACAUUAAGUCAUCGGGCUAAGUCGAGAAGGCUAUACUCCUAGUGCAGCGUCGAUUGCAUCCUUGUGAAGUAAGUGAAUUAGCAAUCUGGUUUUCCUCUUGAUAGAAGUAUAAAAUAGGAUCACAAUCAAGGGAAAAAGAUGUAUGAUAUAUCUAAGAGUGCUGUGGAUAAACCAUGAUCCUCUACUACUAGUGAUGUAGUUAAUAGCUAUAAAGAAAGCCUGUCUAUCCACAAGUCCUAAAAUCCAAGUCGACAGGUAAGAAGGAUCCAAUCAAGAAGCUUGCAGAUCAACAUAAAAUGAAGUGAUGGCACGAAUCCACCAUCUAUUCAAGAGUGACUACCUAAUAUUCUUCCAUAUUAAUGUUAUAUAUUGUUACUUCUAUAAGAAUAACAAUACAAUAUUCUUCUAUAAUAUUUUACGAAAUAAUAAAUUUCAUUCAAGAAAACACGUCUAUCAAUUAGUAUGGACAAAAUAAAAUUUACUGCUUUGUUAUUCAAUUCAAAAUUAAGAGAAUACAUGCCUUAAAACCUUUCGCUCGAGCCUCUUGUCUUGAAUGCAGUCCAUUGCCCAUAAUCUAAUAAGGUAAGGAAGAAUAACAAACUUCAAAACUUCUUCCAUCAUUUCAUUACAAAACCAAAAAACCUGAAAAAGAUGGAUUAUUCUCUAAUCAUGUUGGAGACGGAUUCCUGAACCCUGUUCACGUCAUGUCACGUCGAGGUACAGUAAAAGAAAAAAACAUUAUUCUUUAUGAUCUCAAUUGUUAAAAUUUUGUAUCUUUCUUUCAACAUAAGCGAAAUUGCUUUCUCCUACCUCAACUUGAUUAGAGAGUCGUAAGCAAAAAGAUGAAUAAGUUUCACUAACUCAGUAGACUAGAACUCCAAACCUAAUUGUCUUAUUAUGGGCAGCAAAUGUUAUUUCAACAAACCUUGGGGAUGCAAAUGCACUUUCCCUAUGUUUAAUUGAGAGAAGAUAGUGAUAAGAUUUUAUUUUAUUUAUUUAUUAUUAUUAUUUUUUUUUUUUGGGAGGAUAAACCAACUACAUUAAGUGACAUGUAUUAUCAAAAUGAAAGAAAAUUUAUUACAAUAGGGGAACACAUUAAGCUAAUGUUUGAUUUCAAUAGAUAUCUUAUUUUUGUAGAUUUUGAUAAAAAUUGAAGACAUGCAAGGUGGGAAAGUUAUGGAUCCCAUGAAAUGUAUGGUUAUAAUUAAUUAUUGAGUUUGAUUUAGAUUUUAAUGCACUUUUUGAGUUGGAUGAAAGAGGGAAUAAUUAGAUGGAAGAUUUGAUACUUGAUGCUAGUGCUGAUCUCAAUUUGAUAAAAACUUAAAGAAGACAACAAAAAUUAUUUGACAAUAUACUCAUUCCAAGUUUAUUAAAAUACACAACAUGAUAUAUAAGCACUUGCAGGCGAAUAAAUAAAGAUGGCUACAUUUCCACAAUGUAGUCUUCAAGCAAAGACUACAGUUUAUUUAACUACAGCCAGUUUAAUGUAGUCUCUAAGCAGAGAUCUACAGUUUAUUUAACUCAACCAGCUUUACAGAUAGAUAAGCACUUUAUUCGCCUGCUGUUGCAGCAAAGCAUCAAGCGGUUACUAUCUCCUUAAUGAAAGGCUCUUCGUUUGGGCAAAUUUCUCCACAUGCACACUGGUCAUUAAAUGCUGAGCAGCAUCCUCCUGGAAAACCCUGAAGCUGGCAGAAUUGUUUACAAAGAUCCACGUCACAACGUCGAACUUGAACAUCCUCCACGAGAGGACGACUCGUAAUACGUGGACAACCUCCUGUGCAACGGCACGGACCAAAUGGUCCUGGGCAGCAUGCUGGCUUACCAAAAAGUGAGCAAAAUUUUUGACAAAGAUCCCAGUUACAUCCUCUAGCAUCCACCACAAGAGGACCACUCAUAUCUGUUUAAAAAUACGAAAGAGUAAAGAUAAACAAACACAGUUUAAUACAUAAUACAGUCCAAAGUAAACAAAUACGAAUGCUUUGCUAUGAAAAUUAAAGUUGUUCACGCUAUUUCAAAUUUGGUGAAUUAACGUAGUUGCUAAGCUAUGGAGUUGAAUAAAUUACAAACCAGUGGACAGGGAAACCAACAGCAGGAGGGACACUAUUGCAAAUGACCUCACAGAGAACUCCAUAAUUGAGAAAAAGAGAGAGAUAAUAGGAAGCUUUAGUGAAAUGUGAGUGAAAGACUCCCUGCUUGUAUCUCUUUAUAUAAUGUUUUAAGCGUUCUACCAAAAUUGUUAUAAAAUGUUGGAAAAAUGCUUGUUGUACAUCAUCAUAUUUACAUAAUUUUUUACAGAUUGAUGAUGAGUCAACAAGAAAAUGUGGAAUUUUUAAUUUUUCUUUUUUCAGUUGAAAGAUUUUGACUCAAUCAAAUCUCAUCGCAUCAUCAGUCAGUAAACAAAUAUGUAAGUUGCGAUGUAUAUGUAGCACAAAGGCUUAUGUAAAACACAACUUCUUUUAGUGGAGGGUUUGCACAAGGUGUUGACACGUGGAAUUGUUGAGGCUUUUAGAUUUUCUUUUGGAUAACUUUGCAUGUGACUUUUGAGAGAAACCACUACAGUUUCUUGAUUCUCCUUCUUCUUUCUUGAAAACUUCUCUCGAUUUGAGUCAUUUAUUUAUGUUACGAGAAAUUAAAUUAUCGACAUGUCAUAUUAUUAUCAAAAUUAGACUAGACAUACUCACUCACUCAAUCGUUAUAGAACAUUGCACAAAAGUUGGUCGAGCCUCGAUUAUUACCCUAGUAAAUUGUUGAGGACAAUUUAUUACCAGUGUUGCAAAUAAGACAAUAUAGUGUGUAUAAAAUUGUACAUAUUGCUUAUUAUUAUUAAUAUUAAAUGUGAUCCAGCAUUAAUUUAAAGCUGAAUGCAAGCUGGUGUCUAGACAUUGCCUUUACCAUGAGGAGGCAAAUAUCUUGAAAUUUGAUAUCAUCCUCCCUUCCGACUAACUUCCAAAUGCCCCCAAGUUUAAUUUACUGUAAUUCACUUGUACCAUCUCUCUCUCUCUCUCUCUCUCUCUCUCUCUCUAUAUAUAUAUAUAUAUAUGUGUGUGUGUACACAUAUAAUGAGUAUAACUGUGUUACUUGUAUUAAUGGUCUUUUCAUGCCAUUGUAUAAUUGAGACAGAUGUCAAAACUAAAAACACAUGUUAUACAAAUUUUGGAUGAGAUAUUAAUAGUACAAAUGGUCCUCAUUUCUUUUGUCCAAAUGUAAGCACAAAAAUCACGUGAACUAAAUUUAGUAAGUGACAUUUCAUUUUUGUGGUCCUUCAUAAUUAAAGACGAGUAGAUACAAUAGUUUGAAAGGUCUUUUUCAUAUCAUAGCAUAAUUGCGACAACGUAAAAUUUUUCUAAGCACACUUUUAUAUCAAAGAGUAUUCUAUAUUAUUUAAAUCAGAUUCGAUAUUUUCUAGAAUUAUUUAUACUAAUUGCUCCUCCAUAAUUUUUUUUCCAAAUCUGAACAUAACAUUACGAGUGUACCGAAAUUUUAAUAGGUGAAAUUUUAAGGAUCUAAAUGGGUUACUCAAAAAUUCAAAGGACUGAAUUGAAGAUGUUGAAAACUUUGAGGACCUGGGAUGAAAACACCUUGCGAACGGUGGGUAGGAGGUGUGAACGUUUCAUAGAACCUGUCAUGUCAUGCCUUGCUGCCAAAUUUCCUAGUUCGAGUUGGAAACAUAAUUUUUAAGGUUUGCGGUAUUCCAAUCACACUUUUUUUUUUUCACAUUUUAAAACUUUAAAUAGGACUUCAUAAUAGAUUGUCUUGGAGCUAUUCCAAAAGAAGAAUUCAUCCAUAUAUGGGGCAAAUUGACGACAAGACGACGACACAACUCAAGAUCAUUAAAAGGAUUCAAGAUUGGAUGGAUGUAUUCAUCUUUUUUCAUCUCUCUAUCAUUAAAACUUUAUAUUCUUGUUAUUGAUUGUGUCCAUCUUAACACAAUUAUCUACAUCAUGUCAAUUCAAAGUUGCUCAUUUUUUUUGUUAAAUUCUUGUUAUUUGUGUUGUUUGUUUUUUAUUUUAUUAUUUUAUUUUGAUUAUUGUUUAACAUUAAAAUGUGUGUGUGAUUCUAGAGGUUCGAUAAAAAUAGCUCAUGUUAAUAAACAACAUAGGGUAUGCUAGUUGAUAGAAAAAUCGGCACACCAUCUGAAGUCAAAUGAGAUAAUCUUUGUGAAUAAUAAAUGCUUACGUGUUCAUAAUUUAACUAAAAUUAAUUAGGUUCACAUAUGAGCAUAGAAUUGAUUGACCUUGAUAGUCGAUAGAGGCUUUUUAAUUAAAGCUGGAUCAUAUUUUCAAUUUAGGCAAGAAUUAACAAUUGAGAGGUAAUUGAGAAGUGAAUUAGGAUUACAAUGGGAGAUUGUUGAUCGUUGUGCUUUGCUUGAUAAUUUUACUCUAAGAUCUUAAUAUGCUCUCAAAUCACGUAGUUAAGUUGUUAAUUAGGGGAAAAUUUUCAUAACCUAAAAUAUUAAUCGUGUGUUUUGUUAAAUUUAGUUUUAAUUAAAGUAGAGUCUAUAAUUAACCUUCGUGGGACUACACAUGACUUAUUGAUAAAUGCGGGCUUAUUAAGCUUAUUCGGACCAUUAAACUUAGAUAUUUGCUAUUUUUAUUUGUAAUUUAUUACUUAAAUUUUUUUAUUUUUAUUUUAUAGGUGAAAACUGGAGAUUAAACGAUGAAUUGAAGGAAUUUAUGCGAGAACGAGCUAAAGAUGAAGGCAAACGAAAAAGACGACCAAAGACGCCGCUGAAAGAAGAUUUAAAAAAAAAAUCAGCAAGCGCCCAGCCCGAACAAAGAAUAGAAACUGUGGCGCCCAAGCACCACUGUUCCAGCGCCUAGGCGCCACCUGGGCCGUUUUUAAUUGUUUUCAAUGUUCCAGGGACCAAUGUUGCAAUUUCCUUUAGGUUUUAAGUUCAAACAUUCAACCAAACACAAGAUUUUUCAUUCUUAAACUUGAGGGGCAGCUGGUUCUUCUGCUUCUUCUUCUUGUUUUCUUUCUUUUUCCUUUUUCCUUUCACCUUUAUUUUUUAAGAUAUUUUGAGGAAGAUUGAAACAUGGAAAUGGUGCAUUAGCUUGGAGAAGAUGAUCCAUUGAUAUUGAAGGAUUUUCAACCAUUUCUCUCUUUAUCAAUAAGUUUUUCUUUUCACUUUUUCCAUCAAUGUUUUGUAAGAAAUUGUUAGUUAUUUGUGGAUAUUUCCUGGAUAACUAAUUAUAUUUUGUUAUUGAGGAUUAUUUCAAACCCGAGCUAUGAUUUUCAGUUAAAUUGUGCUUUAUAAUUAUCUUGAUUAAUGUGUUUAAUCCAUUGUGUUAAAUGUUUAUUUUGUUCUUCUUGAUUGUUUAGGUGUACAACUAAAUGGUUAAGUUGUUUCGAUAAUGCUAGUUUGGAAUUAGUAGUACGUAAUAGCUAUUGAUUCUAAAACCUAGUAGCAAUUACAUUUCAAUAGAUUAUGAAGAAUUUUCAAUUGAAUGUAAGUGGAUUAACACUCAAGUUUGUAAACCGAGCUUGCGAGUUUACCAUUAAUUCAAUUCAUCUCUUUUGUCGUAAUGCGUUUGUUAAAUUAAAUUUAGAGAGCUUGUUCUAGGUUGUUUAAUGAAUAGGGUUGAGUAAAGAACUUGUUUUAUUCGACUAACAUGUAAGAAGAGAUUGAGGUAAUUGAGCUUGUAAUUAUUCUCGAAUUGUUGUUAAUCUUGAGAAUGAAAAUUGAUUGUUGUAAUUGACAUGAAAAUCAUUCUCGUGGUGACGAAAUAUCCCCCAAUCACAUUUUCUCGCAUUCAAUCAAGAACUACUUUAUUUAUUUCAGAUUUCAAGUCUUUUCUAGUUUAAAUUUAUCACUUUCCUUAGUUCAACAAACCAAACCCCCCCAUUUAAUCUAUUUCGUCUAUUAUUAUUAAUUUUACUUUUUAGUGUGCAAUUGACAUAAUUGAAUCAAUCUUCUACGGGAAACGACCCUUACUUGCCAUAUUACUAUUUAAAACGACACAUUCAAGUUAAGUAAGGAAAAUUAAUUGGAACGUGAUAUGCAACGUAUCAAUUUUGGCGCCGUGUCGCCGGGGAUUGUUCUAUCAAUUUGUUAAUUGCAAUAUUUUUCUUUUUGUUAUUUUUCUAUUUAUUUUUUUUUCUUUGUCAUUUUGGUUGUGAAUGAGCAAAAAGCCUAUAACACACUACAACCUAAGAUCAAGAAAAGAGGCCGACACAUCGGAGAGUGGAGAAGACAUUUCUCCAACUAGACAUCUAAGGUGAUUGAGCAUUGAAUCCUCAAGUGACUCCGAACACAUAGAGCCUGAAAUGGAGGAUGCAAAUCGGACCUUAAAGGAACUUGUAGCUCUAACUUUUGUUCAACAACCUCUAUGCAUUCAAUAUCCUCAAGUGGAGGUGGGAUUUGAACUAAAGUUCGGGAUGAUUCAUCUACUUCCUAGAUUUCAUGGAUUCGCUGGAGAGGAUCCAAAUAAGCAUUUGAAGGAGUUUCAUGUGGUUUACUCAAGCAUGAAACCUGCGGGUAUAUCGGAAGAGCAAGUGAAAUUGCGGGCAUUCCCUUUUUCUCUUACAGACACUGCUAAGGAAUGGCUCUAUUAUUUGUCGUUCGGUCUUAUUAUCACGUGGAAUGAAAUGCAAAAGAUCUUCUUGGAGAGGUAUUUCCCAACUUCGAAGGCUACAAACAUCAGAAAAGAAAUCUGCAGCAUUCGGCAAUCUCAAGGGAAAAAUCUCUAUGAAUAUUGGGAGAGAUUCAAAAGGCUAUGUGCUAGUUGCCCAAACCACCAAAUCAGUGAGCAAUUACUUCUACAAUACUUCUAUGAAGGAUUGCUCCUGAUGGGGGAAAAUCUCUAUGAAUAUUGGGAGAGAUUCAAAAGGCUAUGUGCUAGUUGCCCAAACCACCAAAUCAGUGAGUAAUUACUUCUACAAUACUUCUAUGAAAGAUUGCUCCUGAUGGAAUAUGAUUGAUGCAGCCAGUGGAGGAGCUUUAAUGGAUAAAACACUGGUAGUUGCUAGGGAUUGAUAGCCAACAUGGCCGCAAACUCACAACAAUUUGGUAGUAGAGAAGCGGUACCGGUUAAACAAGCAAGUAGGUAGGAGCAACCUCUCAAAUUGAAUGACAAUUAGCCGGCCUUACAUCGCUUGUGCAGCAAAUGGCACUUAGGACAAUGCAACAAGCAAAAGUGUGUGGGAUUUGUUCUAUUGUGGGACAUCCUACUGAGGCAUGCCUGACACUACAAGAAGGAGCCUCAGAGCAAGCGAAUGCCAUUGGGAGAUUUCCAAUGCAACAGAGACAGAGAUAUGAUCUAUAUGGGAAACUUUUCGCAAGGUUCAAGUGAACAUACUACUUUUGGAUGCAAUUUAUCAAGUGCCUCGUUAUGCAAAGUUCCUCAAGGAUUUGUGCAUUGACAAGCAUAGAUUGAAAGGUAAUGAAGUGGUAAGUGUAGGGGAAAAUGUCUCAGGGGUCUUGCAAAAGAAACUUUCACCAAAAUGUAAGGACCCUGGAAGUUUUACCAUCCCUUACAUUUAUUGGUAACACUAGGUUUGAAAAGGCAAUGCUAAAUUGAGGAGCAUCUAUUAAUGUCAUGCCAUAUUCUAUUUAUGCUUCCUUAAAUCUAAGAUCACUUAAAAGAAACCGGUGUUAUUAUUCAACUUGCUGAUAGAUUUAACGCAUUUCCGAAGGGUGUGUUGGAGGAUGUUUUGGUGCAGGUAAAUGAAUUGAUUUUUUCGACAGAUUUCUACAUUCUUGACAUGCAAGAUAAACCAAUAUCUUUGUUGCCACCGUUGCUCUUGGGAAGACCAUUUAUGAGGACUGCACGUACAAAGAUAGAUGUGCAUGAUGGUACAUUGACAAUGGAGUUUGAUGGUGAGAUUAUUUGCUUCAACAUCUUUGAAGCAAUGAGGUAUCCUAGUGAUGUUCAUGCUUGUUUUUCAAUUGAUAUAAUAGAUUCAUUAGUACAAAAAGUUUUUGAAUUAUCAAAUGAAGAUGCAUUGGAUACCACUUUGAUUAAAAGCAUUGAUGCUAACAAUCUCACCGGGUUGAGCAAGAAUUUACAAGUGUGCAAGGAUGUUGAAACCGUGGCAUCACUUGAGUCACUACCAAGUAUUCCACUAAGGUAUGAUCUCUCCUAUAUUACUCUUCUGAUAUCUAAAGAGAAACUUUUACCUUUGGUGAUGUAGGCCCCCACUUUGGAACUCAAACCUCUUCCUGAGCAUUUGAAGUAUGUAUAUUUGGGAGAGGAGGAAACACUACCGGUGAUCAUUGCAAAGAAUCUCACAACACUUCAAGAAGAUAGGCUUAUCUGUGUGCUCAAGGAACACAAAAUAGCUAUUGGUUGGACAAUAGCCGAUAUCAAGGGGAUAAGCCCUUCUAUGUGCAUGCACCGGAUAUUGCUCGAAGAUGGAGCAAAGCCAUCAAGAGAAGCACAACGUCGCUUGAAUCCUCCCAUGAUGUAGGUGGUGAAGAAAGAAUUUUUGAAAUUGCUAGACGUUGGUGUCAUCUUUCCCAUCUCCGAUAGCAAGUGGGUAAGCCCGGUCCAAGUUGUUCCAAAAAAGUUUAGAAUCACAGUGGUGACGAAUGAAGAGAAUAAGCUUGUACCAACUCGGGUCCAAACGGGUUGGAGGGUUUGUAUUGAUUAUAGAAAACUUAAUUGUGCAACCCAAAAAGAUCACUUUCCCUUACCCUUUAUUGAUCAAAUGUUGAAAAGAUUAGCAGGCCAUUCUCAUUAAUGUUUUCUUGAUGGUUAUUCAGGUUAUAACCAAAUUGUGAUCGCUCCGGAGGAUCAAGAGAAAACAACAUUCAGUUGCCCGUUUGGCACAUUUGCUUACCGGCGCAUGGCCUUCGGCCUCUAUAAUGCUCCUGCAACCUUUCAAAGAUGCAUGAUAAGUAUAUUCUCCGAUUAUAUUGAUAGCAUCAUUGAGGUCUUUAUGGAUGAUUUUAGUGUUUAUGGUAAUACCUUUGAUAGUUGCCUACAAAAUUUCACACUUUUGCUUAAGAGAUGUAUGGAUGCUAACCUAGUACUUAAUUGGGAAAAAUGUCAUUUUAUGGUUGAUCAAAGCAUAGUGUUAGGCCAUGUCAUUUCUUCCAAGGGGAUAGAAGUUGAUAAAUCUAAAAUUGAUCUAAUUCGUUCUUUACUUCCUCCAACAAGUGUGAGGGAGAUUCGUUCUUUUCUUGGACAUGCAGGAUUUUAUCGAAGAUUUAUCAAGGAUUUUUCUAAAUGUGCAAGACCACUAUAUAGGCUGUUGCAAAAGGAGGCGCCAUUUCACUUUGAUGAAGAUUGUAAAAAGGCAUUCGAAAGCUUGAAGGAACUUUUGACAUCGGCACCCAUCAUUCAACCACCAGAUUGGAACAAACCAUUUGAGUUGAUGUGUGAUGCAAAUGACUUUGCAUUGGGAGCCAUUUUAGGGCAACGAGUUGGAAAGACACCUCAUGUUAUAUAUUAUGCAUCAAGAACUUUUAAUGAUGCCCAACUCAAUUACUCUACUAUUGAAAAAGAGCUUUUAGCAGUUAUUUUUGUCUUAGAAAAAUUUUGUUCAUAUCUUAUUGGCACAAAAGUAACUGUCUUUUCUGAUCAUGUUGCUCUUAAGUACUUGCUUGCCAAGAAAGAGGCAAAACCAAGGCUCAUUAGAUGGAUACUCCUCUUACAAGAGUUCGACCUUGAGAUUAAAGACAAAAAAGAGAGUGAAAAUUCUGUGACCAACCACUUCAAUUGCCUUAUCCAUGAGAAAGAAAGCUUCCCCGAUGAACAAUUGCUUCUCGUCAUGGACACAUCUCCUUGGUUUGCGGAUAUAGUGAACUAUUUAGUCCCUAAGAAAAUUCCAAGUGACUUGACCAUUGCUCAAAGGCAAAAACUCAAGGCGAUGGCCAAAUAUUUUAUGUGGGAUGAGCCGUACUUGUGGAAACACUGUCCGGAUCAAUUGAUAAGAAGGUGCGUGCAUGAAAAUGAAUUUCAUUCAAUACUUACAUUUUGUCACUCUUAUGCAUGUGGUGGACAUUUUGGAGCAAAGAGGACUGCUCUCAAGGUGCUUGAAAGUGGAUUCUAUUGGCCCACCCUAUUCAAAGAUACGUUCUUCUUUUACAAAUCUUGUGAUCGAUGUCAAAGGGUAGGUACGUUGAGAGUCCGAAAUCAAAUGCCACAAACACCCAUACUUUUUGUUGAAAUUUUUUAUGUUUGGGGCAUUGAUUUCAUGGGACCUUUCCCUUUAUCUUAUGGUAACCUUUACAUCAUUCUUGUCGUUGAUUAUGUGUCAAAAUGGGUGGAAGCAAGGGCCACUUGAACUAAUGAUUCUAAAGUGGUUGUAGAUUUUGUUAAAUCCAACAUUUUUGCAAGGUUUGGAACACUAAGAGCUAUUAUUUGCGAUAAAGGACUACAUUUUUGCAACCGUUCCUUUUGGGCCCUUUUGAAAAGAUACAAUAUCACCCAUAAAGUGGCUACACCUUACCAUUCGUAAACUAGUGGGCAAGUCGAAGUGUCUAACCGAGAGGUCAAAUCCAUCCUCGAAAAAACUGUGAAUCCCAAUAGAAAUGAUUGGAGUCUCCACCUCAAUGAUGUACUCUGGGCUUAUAGGACGGCAUACAAAACACCAAUUGGCAUGUUCCCUUAUUGGUUAGUUUAUAGCAAGCCCUUUCAUCUCCCAGUUGAACUCGAACACAAAACAUUUUGGGCAGUCAAGCAAUGCAACAUGAACCUAGGUGCAAUGGGUGAUCAAAGAAAGCUUCAACUCAAUGAACUUGAGGAAAUUCGAAAUGACGCCUAUGAAAGUUCAAUAAUUUACAAGGAAAAAACUAAAGCGUACUAUAAUAAAAUGAUUUCAAGAAAGGCUUUUGUUGUUGGACAAAAAGUCCUUCUUUUCCACUCGCGCCUCAAGUUAUUUCCAGGUAAAUUACGUUCUCGAUGGAUUGGCCCUUUUGUUGUUACUAAUAUCUUUCCUCAUGAUGUAGUAGAAAUCAAAAGCCUUCAGACUGAGAAAGAGUUUAAGGUGAAUGGCAUCAAUUAAAAUCAUAUUUUGAACCCUUCGUACCACAAAACAUGGAGAAAAUGCGAUUGGAGGAUCCAAUCGAAGAAGCAUGAAAGAGGACACUUAUUUUUGUUUUUGUGAAUUUUUGUUGCCAAUGGUCCCCAACCAUCAUCACAGCCAUCAUUGUUAACACCACUAGGGGAGUAUUUGAACAUCUUGCACAUUCAAUUUGUUUUUGCUUUUACAUUGAGGACAAUAUGCAAUUUAAGUUUGGGGGUGAGGUGGUAUGUGCUAAAUUUUUUGUGGAAUUUUGUGGUUUGUGCUAAUUUUGUUCUCACUAAAAACUUAAAAAUUCAGAUUAAACACUUGUUUUUAUGCUUGUUUGUGUUGUUUGAAAGUUUUGCCAAUUGCAUUUUGAGUAUUGCAUUGCAUUGAUUUAUGAAUUGGGAACAUGAAUGCUAAGUGUUGUUUAUUUUCAUCCACUUAUCCCAUGAUAGACUCUUUAUUGAGCACUUGGGUCAUGAGAUUCAUCACAUGCACUUGUUGGUUGCACUUGUAGGUUGUUAAUGAACUUAAAUGACCAUGCUGUUAGAAAUUCUUCAAUUACUCAACCAAUGAAAGGAUAAGUUUAGGGGUGGUUGAACCGGUGAAAGAAAUUAUUUAUAAUUGUAUUAAUUACCUACUCAGUGAUUGAUUUUGUGGAAUGUUCUUAGACUUCAAAUGAAAAGUUAGAUGUUGUUUUCCAUCUAUUGAUAUUUAAAAAAAAAAUCUAUGGGAAAAAGUUGCCUACCCUAAGGAGUGUGAGUCAGCAUUGAGUAAUUUGGCCCUAUGCAUCACCAAUGUGUAGGAGACGAUCUACAAAUGAAGAAGGCUACCCUUAGGGACCAGAGCGAGAACUACCUACAUUGGAAAAAUGAAGAAAAAUAAAAGGGAUGCUAUAAGCAUCUAGGGGUGAUUUUGUUGAAGAAUUGAUGGAUUGUGAGUAAUUUGCCUAACAUGAGUUGUGGUCUAAGCACUCAAAAUUUUUGGUGAAUUAAUACAUGACUAGAUGAUCUAUUUUUUUCGGUUCAAACCAACCAAAUUUGAGAGGGAAAUAUUGAGUGAUUUGAGGGCAACCUUAAGUUUUUGAUACCUUGGGUUAGAGUGAAAAUAUCACAAGUUUGGGGGAGUGUGCAUCCCAUGAGUGAGAAAGGAAAGUUUGACCAUUGAGGGUUGGGAAAAUCACCAAAUUGUGUAUUGCAAUGAAUUGGAAUGACCACACACACACACGAGUCAAGCAUGGUGUAAGUUUAAAAGUGUUUGUUGUAGCAUUUUUGUAAACAUUUCAUAAGUUAUUUACAUAAAUGUAAGAAUUGUAGCAAAGAGUCAAAAUAUCGAACAAUUGGAGUAUUUGUUAUUAUUAUAGUAUUAUCGUUUAGUUUUAAUUUGAGUGUUUGUAUUGCUUUGUUCAAGGACUAACAAAGAUUUAAGUUUGGAGGGUGUGAUAAUGCGGGUUUAUUGCGCUUAUUCGGACCAUUAAACUUAGAUAUUUGCGAAUUUUAUUAGCGAUUUAUUAUUUAAUUUUCUUAUUUUUAUUUGUAUGUGAAAACUCGAGAUUAAACGAUGAAUUGAAGAAAUUUAUGCGAGAAACGAGCUAAAGAUGAAGGAAAAUGAAGAAGACGACCAAAGACGCCACCGAAAGAAGAUUCAAAAAAAUAAUAAUAAUAAAUUCAGCGAGCUCGACCAGCUCGAACAAAAAACAAAAACUGUGGCACCCAGGCGCCACUGUUCCAGUGCCUAGGCGCCACCUGGGCCGUUUUUAAUUGUUUUCAAAGUCUCAGAGACCAAUAUUGCAAUUUCCUUUAGGUUUUAAGUUAAAACAUUCAAUCAAAUACAAGAUUUUUCAUUCUUAAACUUGAGGGGCAGCUGGUUCUUCUUCUUCUUCUUGUUUUCUUUCUUUUUUCUUUUUCCUUUAACCUUUAUUUUUUAAGAUAUUUUGGGGAAGAUUGGAAAAUGGAGAUGGUGCAUUAACUUGGAAAAGAUGACCCAUUGAUAUUGAAGGAUUUUCAACCAUUUCUCUCUUUAUCAAUAAGUUUUUCUUUUCACUUUUUCCAUCAAUGUUUUGUAACAAAUUGUUAGUUAUUUGUGGAUAUUUCCUGGGUAACUAAUUAUAUUUUUUGAUUAUAGAUUAUUUCAAACCCGAGUUAUGAUUUGUUUAAUCCAUUGUGUUAAAUGUUUGUUUUGUUCUUCUUGAUUAUUUAGGUGUACAACUAAAUGGUUAAUUUGUUUCGAUAAUGUUCUUUUGGAAUUAGUAGUACGUGAUAGCUAUUAAUUCUAAAAGCUAGUAGCAAUUACAUUUCGAUAGAUUAUGAAGAAUUUUCAAUUGAAUGUAUGUAGAUUAACGCUCAAGUUUGUAAACCGAGCUUCCGAGUUUACCAUUAAAUCAAUUCAUCUCUUUUGUCGUAAUGCGUUUGUUGAAUUAAAUCUAGAGAGCUUGUUCUAGGUUGUUUAAUGAAUAGGGUUGAGUAAAGAACUUGUUUUAUUCAACUAACAUGUAAGAAGAGAUUGAGGUAAUUGAGAUUGCAAUUAUUCUCGAAUUGUUGUUAAUGUUGAGAACGAAAAAAUAUUGUUGUAAUUGACAUGAAAAUCAUUCUCAUGGUGACGAAAUAUCCCAUAAUCACAUUUUCUCGCAUUCAAUCAAGAACCACUUUGUUUACUUCAGAUUUCAAGUCUUUUUUAGUUUAAAUUUGUCGCUUUCCUUAGUUCAACAAACCAACCCCCCCCCCCAUUUAAUCUAUUUCAUCUAUUAUUAUUAAUUUUACUUUUUAGCAAACCCCCCCCCAUUUAAUAUAUUUCGUAUAUUAUUAUUAAUUUUACUUUUUAGUAUGCAAUUGACAUAAUUGAAUCAAUCAUCUAUCGAAAAUGACCCUUACUUGCCAUAAUACUAUUUAGGACGACACAUUUAAGUUAAGUAAGGAAAAUUAAUUGGAACAUGAUUUGCAACGUAUCAAUUUUGGCGCCGUGUCGCUGGGGAUUGUUCUAUCAAUUUGUUAAUUGCAAUAUUUUUCAUUUUGUUUUUUUUUUUAAUUAUUUGUCAUUUAAGUUGUGAAUGAGCAAAAAACCUAUAACACACUACAACCUAAGAUCAAGAAAAGAGGCUGACACAUCGGAAAGUGGAGAAGACAUUUCUCCAACUAGACAUCUAAUUGAUUUUUCAAAUUGCAAUUUUUGUUCAUUUCAGCAAAACGACACGUAUAUCUCAUACUCUUUAUCUACAUUUUUCAGAGAUUGUCAUACUCCAUAGAAUUUCUAAUUCCAUUGUUUCUGAUCGAGAUUGAAAAUUUUGGUGUCUUUUCUAAUACACUUCUGGAGAAAGAUGCGAACAAAUCUUUGUUUCAUUUCAUUUUACCAUUGCCAAAGUCAUAAUCAUACAGAAGUUGUAUAAUGGGACAAUCUUUUGAGAAGUUAUGUAGGAAAGAAAUACAAUAAUGAGACAUUAUUUUCCCUGAAUUUAAAUUCAUUUAUAAUUAAUUUACUAGCCAAACUACUAAAGAAAGCCCACUUAUAGUUGUUUAUGGCUAAUAUCUCUUUAAGUGCUUUGGACUUGACUCUGCAGCCUGAUACUCAUCAUUUUGGUGGAGAUGCAAAACAAAGUGAUAAGUUCAUUAAGAAAAUGCAUGAUCAAGUUCAAAAGAUGACACGAAAGAAAAAUGAGAAGUACAUGAAGAUUGCAAACAAGCACCACAAAUAUGUUUUGGAUUCAUCUACGAAAAAUAUGGUUUCAUUAAGGAAGCUAUGCUAAACUUCAGUUCAUUUCGAAGUUGACAACUCUUUCAAAGUUCUCCUAAUAAUUUGCAAAAAUGCUUACAAAAUUGAUUUGCCUCCUCUAAAUGUAGCUUAUCUUUCACUAUUCCAUGGUGGAGACAACUUUUAGUUGAUAUCAAGUCUUUUCAACCAAGGAUCACUGACAUAGGAGUGUCAUUGAUUACAAUCUUUGAAGAAGGAUAAGUCAAAGUUCUAUCAUUAGUAUUUUAAUUUUAAAGGACCAAAAGUUUCGGUAAAGUAAAUUCCCAAAUUGAUGCACAGUAAUUUUCAAUGUAAAUCAUGCUAUUUGUACAACUAGUUCAACAAUUGUGAGUUGGCACGGAUCUUGAUCAUUGAUUUGAAAAACUACUUCAAAUUAAUGAUCAGGAUCUUUACACCUCACAUAUUGUCAAACUAGUCGUACAAAUUCAUUAUACAACAAGCUUAAUUCCUCAUUUUGAGUAAUGAUAUUUCUUAGUUGUCGAUAACAAGACGUAUUAAAUGGAGAUAUAUUAGAAAAUUAAGUCAUUAAUUAUACUAUUAACAAGGAAAGAGGCCUAUAAUUUGAGACUAUUACGUAGAAAAUUGGAACUGAAUUAAUGCAAUACCAUUGUGUUGGAGAAAAUACGAGAUUGUAAGUAUAAUAUGAAAUAAAGAAUGCAAGAAAAAUGUAAUUUGCAGAGAAUAGAGAUUUACUACAAUGUGGAGAAAGAAUACAAUUUUUUUGUAUUUACAAUGUUUCUAACUUCUUCUAAAUUAUAAUGAAGAGCCAACUAUGUAUAGGGACAUCCAAAACUUAAUAGUAGAGUGAUGGUUGAAGUAGAAUGCAAGAAAUAACAUUAAAAAUUGAAUAGGAGACAAAACAAAGCCCACUCCCUGUUUUUAUAUACUGAGGCGCCGAUUCCCUAUUUCAAUAUAAAGCUGUCGGCCCCUAGGCCCCUCAUCUCCAUUCCAAACAACUUUGAAGGAUAUUUUUCUUCAUUCCAAAGUCCUUUUCAAGUCUAACACAAAUUUCAACUUUCGGUUAGAUUUUUAAAUAGAACUUUAACUAAAAUUUGUCAAAUAGACUUCAAAUAUAAUUUCUCUUGACGUGCAAAUUUAUUGUCUAUGGUUUUUAAAAAUUUUUGUUGAACCAAAAUUCCUUUCAUUAUUUGUUGCCCAAAUUGAAAAAUCUUAUUUCCCAUUGAAAAAUCCAACAUUUUUAGGAUAGAUCACACAAAGCAAUCCUAAGACCGUAGUAUACACCAUUUUUAGGGCUUCAAAGAUAUGCGAUUUUAGAUCACGGGAAUGUUCAAACGGAUCAAGUCCAGGUGUUCUAACAGGAUAAUCAAUGCAACACGAAUGUAUGUUAACAAAAAAUUCAAAUUCUCACGCAAUGUAGUCUCACAUAGUGACUAUAUGACAGUUAGAGCAGAAAAUUAAUUACUAAUUUGCGAUCAAAUUCAACACUUCAAACAUGACAAAUAACUCCUAAAUUUCAAGUAUAAGCAAUGUUAUCCCUUUACGAUAACCCAAUCCUACUGUCACCCCCACACGAUAACGCACUAAUGAUAAAAUUUAAAUUGAGAUAAGUCAAUAUACCAAAGCGGACCAAUUUGAGUCCAUAAAUUACGAGAGAUGCAAAUUUGUCACUUUAAAACCACUACAAUUCAUCCUAAAGUCUCCAUUAAUUGCAGGUGUUAAUCAGCCACAAUCGACUCCCGAACGCGCGAAGAAUAGAUUUAUCUAGAUUCCACCGUAUAACCUAAAACAGAAAACUAACAACACCAAAAUGUCAAAAAUAAUGUUAGGAACAAGCUGUCUUAAAAGACCUCCGCUUGCAGACACCUCACGCGCCCUCAAGCGCGACCAAGUCAUUCUAUUCGUGGGCCUCAUGUCAUCGUCUAUAACACGCUUGAUAGUUGGCACAUGACCACUGGACGUUACACCAGUGGUCUCUGUUUCACGACCACUAGAUUGGGCAAAAAUUGCACUAAUAGAUCCGAUUUUUACACAGUUUUCUAGCAAUUUUUCGAUUGUUUUUUGGCUCAUUUUUGCCUAUUUCCUGGAUUUUUUUGGUAUGUUUCACAAGCCAAAUCCACCAUCUUGAAAUUCUGAUACCAAUUGUCACAAAAGCUUGCUCUAAGAAUCGUCAAAAUGGCAUUUUUCGAGUUCAGUUUAACGUUACUUUUCUCUACAAAACAGUCAAUCCAAUCGGCUUCAAUUCACAACAUAUAUAUUCACUUCGAUUGCUUCUUAAUCUCACCCACAAAGGACAAGAUAAUGAUAAUGAUAAUGAUUUGUCACCACAACGGCAAGAAGAAAACACCACAAAGGAGGCAAGGAAGAGAUCAAAAUCAAGGAGCUAACCAUUGGUUUUUUUGACACACAAAGGCAACUUACUUUUCUCUCAAUGGGCAGCCACAUUUUCUUCACUUUUCUUGGACAAAUCAUACUACAAAACGGCUAGGGUUAGGACCAUAUAAAAAGGGUUAGGUUAGACUUUUAGUUAGACCAAUAACAAAGCUAAAGGGGCCAAGAUUCAAAACCAUCCAAGAGGAAACAUAAAUGGGCAGGGUAGAGCUUUUGGACUUGGUUGUUGGUACUUAUUUCACUCAUCAUUCAAGGCCUAUGAAAUAUAUAUUCCCAUGUUAACAUCAUAGCCUGAAAUUUAUUGGGUAUCAAAACACAACCCUUAGUGCAUAUCUCAAUUUGAUGAAAACUUAAAGAAGACAACAAAAAUUAUUUUACAAUAUACUCAUUCCAAGUUUAUUAAAAUGUUAAACAUAAUACUUGUAAUUAAAGAUGGACAUAAAUGGACAAUGUAGUUUCCAAGCAGAGACUACAGUUUAUUUAAUUAAAGCAAGAUUAAUGCAGUCUCCAAGCAGAGAUCUACGUUUUAUUUAAUUAAAGCCAAUUUAAUGUCACAAAACAGAGUUCAUUAAUUCAACCAACUACUUAGAUAGAUAAGUAAUUUAUUCUCCAGCUUUUGCAGCAAUGCAUCAAGCGAUUACUAUCUCCUUGAUGAAAGGCUCUUCCACUGUUGCACCAGUCAUCACCUCCUCAGUUCCAGAGUGCAAUUCUUGAGGGGAAGUUUAGUACAAAACAUAAGGAAGCUUUUUGUCUUGCCAGAUUCAAUCUACAAGGCAACAUAUCAUUAAGUUUAUGUUCACAUAAACUUAAUGUGGUUUGAUUUGUUUUGUUUGAUAUGUUGAAGGUGUAAGAUGAUUAAGAACUGAGUGUUGCUUGAUUUGUUUUGUUCCAAAAGGGAACUAUUAGGAUAUUUGGUGUUAACGGUGAAUAGUAAACGUAGGGUCUAUAACUUUACUUGGUGUAAGAUGAUUAAGAACCAAGUGUCGUUUGAUUUUUUUUGUUUCGAUGCUAAAAGAUAAGUCUCUGUAACUUUAUCUCUAUAAUUUGAACAUUUUGUAUGGUUGUCAUUUUGAAUAUUAAAUGAUGAGCAGGUACAUAGCUUUCAAAAGGUCUUUCAAUAUAUUUGUAUAAUUGAGACAGCUGUAAAUAUUUUUCAACAAUAUUUUUAUAUAGAUGUAUAUCCCAUGUUAUCUAAAUUAGAUUCCAUAUUUUUUAAACUUAUAAUUGCACUAAUGGUCCUCAAAUCUUCUAUGAAAAUCUAAACACAACAAUCACAAGUGAACCAAAAUUGUCAUAUUAAUAAUUAUUGGAUAAGGUACCGAUACUUUUAAAAAGUCACAACCACAUCUUUAUAUCAAUGAGUGUCACAUGUUAUCUAAAUUUUGGAUUAGACAUUUCCUAAACAAAUUUGAACUAACUACAGAAGUGUUACCAUCUUGUUGAGAAUAUAUGAAUUCAAGACUAUCAUUUUAAUCAUGACACUUAUCCUUUCCGUCACUUGUAGUACAAUUUCACCAUAAAAAAUGUUAGCGAAUUAUUCACUUCUAAUUAAAUGUAAGAAAAGAAAUAAACAACGUAAAGAUUUUUUUAUUUAUCUAAAAUAAUAAAAUGAUAAAAAGAAAAAGAAUUUCCCUUUCAUCUUCAUCUCUCUAAAACCAUUACAGCUGAAAUGCAGAACAAGGACCGUCUCUCUUUCUCUGGCUUAAACUAUCCUCUCUUGCCAUAUUUCCCACACUCUAUAUUCUCAAAGCACUAAUUCCACUUGGCCAUUUCCCCAAACCCAAACCUUGUUGAUCAAUAUUCAAUCUUGUAGUAGGGUAAUUGCUAUGUCCACAAGUAAAUCAGUCAUCUGAACAUCUACCAAGAAAAAACAUCGAAUUUACACAGUGGAAUAAGUUGGGAUAUAAGCAAAUAACUCUUAAACUAGAGAAUUAUAUCAAAAUCGCUUUUGAAAUCAUUGAUUAAUUGGUGUCAUGUCUACCCAUAAACAUAACAAUUUUAAUGGUUUGGUUUUGGUCUCGAUACUUUAAUUGCAGUUGGAAACUGAACAUGAUUGAUUAAAUUUUUUCAAACAAAGUAAAUAUAAAUAUAAUUUAUUUAUUUUUUUCAACAUUGGUCUAAAUUGAACAUGGAUUGGAUCAAAAAAUUACCAUCUUGACCUCCAAAAAAUAUGAAUAUUAAAAAUUUAUUUUAAAUAUAGGUAAUUGAAGGUUAUAAAACCAUUAGGUGUGGGUUUGAUGUUUUUCAAAUGCAAUUAUAUUAUUAUUUCGAAUUUUGUUAGUCACACCCCGAUUUUAAGUUUUUUUUUUCUUUUUUAUUUACUUAAAUAAACUUAAGUAAAAUUAGAUAAAUAUGGUUUUAAUAUAUUUAUAAUGUAAAAUAAUUUAUUGUUAAACCACAAUCAUAAAUCUAAUUUUCUUUCUUUCUUUUCCCUCAAUAGCCGUGCCAUAGCUUUUCCGUCGGUGGCCUUUGCGUUCUAUCACGAUAGAAAAUAAUUUUGUUUUUACUCUGACUUUAUACAUGUUUGGGCAGCUAAGACAGGUUACUAUUUCAAUCUCUCAGGGCCAUCUUCUCUGGUGAUGUUGUUAUACUUUUGCUGUUCGCGCUGAUUCAGAUUUGUGGAUUCACAUUUCCACAUUUUGGAUCCAUCUUCAAUCAUCGAGUUCUUUAGGCCGUCUAAUUGAGUGCUGAUAAUCUUGUUUUUAUAUAUUUCAGAUUCUGUUUCCUCUAGGAAGGAUAUUUGUAACAAUUUUCAAAUGUUUGUGGUUACAUCAUUUAUAACACCUAUAAUUGGAGCAAAUGAAGCCAAAGCAGCAGAUUUAAUGUAAGCAAGUAAACAUGGAUUAUUUAACCAGUCUUGAAUUCUUACGUUAAAGAGGAAGAUGACGUCUAGUUUGAGGCUUUCCACCAAGUGUGUAUCAGUGUAUCUGUACAUCACUUGUAUUACAAUUUCACCAUAAAAUUAAAAAUUAAAAAUUAAAAAUUAAAAAAUCGUGCAUUACUCACUCCUAAUAUAAAUGUAAGAAACGAAGGAAACAACAUAAAGACUUCUUCUUCAUCUAAAAUAACAAAAUGAUAAAAGGAAAAGAAUUUUGUUUUCAUCUUCAUUUCUCUAAAACAAUUGCAACAGAAAUGUAGAACCAAAACCCUGUCUCGCCAUAUUUCCACCCACUAUAUUCUCAAAAUACUAAUUCCAUUUUUCCAUUUCCCCAAAACCCCAAACCUUAUUGAUGAAUUUUAAAUCUUUAUAGUAGGGUGGUUGUUUUGUCCACAUGUAAAUCAAUCAUCUGAACAUAUACAACUAAAGAAAUGACAUCAAAUUUAUGCAGUAGAAUAAGUAGCGCUAUAAGCAAAAAAAACUCUUAAACUAGAGAACUGCAUCAAAAUUGCUUUUUAAAUAAUCGGUUAAUUGAUGUUGCUUCUACCCAUAAACAUAACAACUUUAAUGAUUUUGUUUGGGCUUCUAUAUUUUAAUUGUAGUUGGAAACUCAACAUGAUUGAUUAAAAAUUUUAAAUAAAGUAAAUACAAAUAUUUUUUUUUUUCAAAAUUUGUCUAAAUUGAACAUGACAUUUUUUUAUCUAAAUCGAAGUCAACAAAAAGUGAUUUGAAAUUCAAACAACAAAUGGAUGUUAGGGCUGAACAACUUCACCUAUUGGUCACCUUUACUUCUAAUAUUAAGAUUCAUACAAUAUAAAGUAUUAUUCGGUUGAAUUCUUCUAUUGUAUUCAAUUUACCCCUCUCGAGUUCUCAUUGAGCCUAUUUAAAUACCUCAAUUCCAUAUCUCUAUGCGAAUUAAACUUAGUUAAACGCACUAAUAGUUCUAAUAAUUCAUUUAUGACCGCAGCAAUUAAUAUAGGCAAACUACACGUUAUAUUAAUUCAACAGAUUUUAAUAUGUGGUCUAAACAAGAAUCUGCAUCUCUAUGCAAUUAUUAUUCACGAAAUCAUUGAGCAACUGGCCAGAAAAUUCAAUGCAUUGAGAAUAUGAUUAAAAUCCACACAUGUAAUUAUAACGAACAAGAAUAUCAAACUAAAGAAAUAAAGGUUCUCAAAUCAGCUACAUUGUUCACCCUAAAAGUAGAUUAGCUACUCAUAGCAAUGAAAUAAAAAUAUGAAGUUCUUAUGAAAGACAUCAUUGGGUUUUGAGUAAGAAUGUAGAAUAAGAAAUCAAUCUUGCACCAAGACCUUCUUCCCUUUCCAAUUUAUGCUUCAACCCUUGAAUAGCUUGUUGUUUUGUUCUCUUCAAUUCUUCUCUUUAAUCUCCAAGUGUGCCUCUUCCUCUCAAUAUGUGAAUCCUCCCUCAAGUUUGAGAAAAAUUGUUUUUAUAUGUGCCUUGUUGUGUGUAAAAGGUAGGAUUUUCAUCAGGACUCCAAAGUGGGCCACAAUUUCGCUUAGGUUACGUAUUGGUGGAGUCGCGGCGCUUGGAAUGCGAUGCUGCAGCGUCGUGUCAAGAAUAAGUGGUGGCACUACAGCGCUAUGGAGUGGCACCACCUCUCUGAUUCUCCAGGCACUGUAGUGCCGGCACCACUUUUCGGACAAACAGCACCUCGUUCAGUAUUUUUAUCAUAAUUUUCUUUCCCAAUAUCCGAUUGAGGCAAUUCAAGUUUUAUUGGAAAUCUAACUCAAAGGGAUACGACUUUGCUUUGGACAUCAUUCUCUAGUUUGAUUGUUUGCUACGUCUGAAUGUGAGAUUGAAAUUCCGAAGCAUAACUUUUUGGUUGGAAAUUGAUUCAUAAUCAUAUUUUGCCUAAAUUUGAUCCCUUUGACAUCUUUCUUCAUCCAAUUGACUCCAAGCACUCUUGAAUCUUCAUCAUGAGGUACAACACAACUUUUGAUUAUUUGCACUUUAGUCCUCGAACUUUGGAUCUCUUACAACUUAACCAUUUUCUCCAAUUUUGCCCACUUUUGCUUCUUCCUUCAAUUUCUUGUACCGUCAUUGAAUUUUACCUAUUCGAGAAAAAAUGUAAUAAUUUAAACCAUAAUUCAUUUGAGAAACAAUUAAAUAUCAUCGUUUUAAANNNNNNNNNNNNNNNNNNNNNNNNNNNNNNNNNNNNNNNNNNNNNNNNNNNNNNNNNNNNNNNNNNNNNNNNNNNNNNNNNNNNNNNNNNNNNNNNNNNNNNNNNNNNNNNNNNNNNNNNNNNNNNNNNNNNNNNNNNNNNNNNNNNNNNNNNNNNNNNNNNNNNNNNNNNNNNNNNNNNNNNNNNNNNNNNNNNNNNNNNNNNNNNNNNNNNNNNNNNNNNNNNNNNNNNNNNNNNNNNNNNNNNNNNNNNNNNNNNNNNNNNNNNNNNNNNNNNNNNNNNNNNNNNNNNNNNNNNNNNNNNNNNNNNNNNNNNNNNNNNNNNNNNNNNNNNNNNNNNNNNNNNNNNNNNNNNNNNNNNNNNNNNNNNNNNNNNNNNNNNNNNNNNNNNNNNNNNNNNNNNNNNNNNNNNNNNNNNNNNNNNNNNNNNNNNNNNNNNNNNNNNNNNNNNNNNNNNNNNNNNNNNNNNNNNNNNNNNNNNNNNNNNNNNNNNNNNNNNNNNNNNNNNNNNNNNNNNNNNNNNNNNNNNNNNNNNNNNNNNNNNNNNNNNNNNNNNNNNNNNNNNNNNNNNNNNNNNNNNNNNNNNNNNNNNNNNNNNNNNNNNNNNNNNNNNNNNNNNNNNNNNNNNNNNNNNNNNNNNNNNNNNNNNNNNNNNNNNNNNNNNNNNNNNNNNNNNNNNNNNNNNNNNNNNNNNNNNNNNNNNNNNNNNNNNNNNNNNNNNNNNNNNNNNNNNNNNNNNNNNNNNNNNNNNNNNNNNNNNNNNNNNNNNNNNNNNNNNNNNNNNNNNNNNNNNNNNNNNNNNNNNNNNNNNNNNNNNNNNNNNNNNNNNNNNNNNNNNNNNNNNNNNNNNNNNNNNNNNNNNNNNNNNNNNNNNNNNNNNNNNNNNNNNNNNNNNNNNNNNNNNNNNNNNNNNNNNNNNNNNNNNNNNNNNNNNNNNNNNNNNNNNNNNNNNNNNNNNNNNNNNNNNNNNNNNNNNNNNNNNNNNNNNNNNNNNNNNNNNNNNNNNNNNNNNNNNNNNNNNNNNNNNNNNNNNNNNNNNNNNNNNNNNNNNNNNNNNNNNNNNNNNNNNNNNNNNNNNNNNNNNNNNNNNNNNNNNNNNNNNNNNNNNNNNNNNNNNNNNNNNNNNNNNNNNNNNNNNNNNNNNNNNNNNNNNNNNNNNNNNNNNNNNNNNNNNNNNNNNNNNNNNNNNNNNNNNNNNNNNNNNNNNNNNNNNNNNNNNNNNNNNNNNNNNNNNNNNNNNNNNNNNNNNNNNNNNNNNNNNNNNNNNNNNNNNNNNNNNNNNNNNNNNNNNNNNNNNNNNNNNNNNNNNNNNNNNNNNNNNNNNNNNNNNNNNNNNNNNNNNNNNNNNNNNNNNNNNNNNNNNNNNNNNNNNNNNNNNNNNNNNNNNNNNNNNNNNNNNNNNNNNNNNNNNNNNNNNNNNNNNNNNNNNNNNNNNNNNNNNNNNNNNNNNNNNNNNNNNNNNNNNNNNNNNNNNNNNNNNNNNNNNNNNNNNNNNNNNNNNNNNNNNNNNNNNNNNNNNNNNNNNNNNNNNNNNNNNNNNNNNNNNNNNNNNNNNNNNNNNNNNNNNNNNNNNNNNNNNNNNNNNNNNNNNNNNNNNNNNNNNNNNNNNNNNNNNNNNNNNNNNNNNNNNNNNNNNNNNNNNNNNNNNNNNNNNNNNNNNNNNNNNNNNNNNNNNNNNNNNNNNNNNNNNNNNNNNNNNNNNNNNNNNNNNNNNNNNNNNNNNNNNNNNNNNNNNNNNNNNNNNNNNNNNNNNNNNNNNNNNNNNNNNNNNNNNNNNNNNNNNNNNNNNNNNNNNNNNNNNNNNNNNNNNNNNNNNNNNNNNNNNNNNNNNNNNNNNNNNNNNNNNNNNNNNNNNNNNNNNNNNNNNNNNNNNNNNNNNNNNNNNNNNNNNNNNNNNNNNNNNNNNNNNNNNNNNNNNNNNNNNNNNNNNNNNNNNNNNNNNNNNNNNNNNNNNNNNNNNNNNNNNNNNNNNNNNNNNNNNNNNNNNNNNNNNNNNNNNNNNNNNNNNNNNNNNNNNNNNNNNNNNNNNNNNNNNNNNNNNNNNNNNNNNNNNNNNNNNNNNNNNNNNNNNNNNNNNNNNNNNNNNNNNNNNNNNNNNNNNNNNNNNNNNNNNNNNNNNNNNNNNNNNNNNNNNNNNNNNNNNNNNNNNNNNNNNNNNNNNNNNNNNNNNNNNNNNNNNNNNNNNNNNNNNNNNNNNNNNNNNNNNNNNNNNNNNNNNNNNNNNNNNNNNNNNNNNNNNNNNNNNNNNNNNNNNNNNNNNNNNNNNNNNNNNNNNNNNNNNNNNNNNNNNNNNNNNNNNNNNNNNNNNNNNNNNNNNNNNNNNNNNNNNNNNNNNNNNNNNNNNNNNNNNNNNNNNNNNNNNNNNNNNNNNNNNNNNNNNNNNNNNNNNNNNNNNNNNNNNNNNNNNNNNNNNNNNNNNNNNNNNNNNNNNNNNNNNNNNNNNNNNNNNNNNNNNNNNNNNNNNNNNNNNNNNNNNNNNNNNNNNNNNNNNNNNNNNNNNNNNNNNNNNNNNNNNNNNNNNNNNNNNNNNNNNNNNNNNNNNNNNNNNNNNNNNNNNNNNNNNNNNNNNNNNNNNNNNNNNNNNNNNNNNNNNNNNNNNNNNNNNNNNNNNNNNNNNNNNNNNNNNNNNNNNNNNNNNNNNNNNNNNNNNNNNNNNNNNNNNNNNNNNNNNNNNNNNNNNNNNNNNNNNNNNNNNNNNNNNNNNNNNNNNNNNNNNNNNNNNNNNNNNNNNNNNNNNNNNNNNNNNNNNNNNNNNNNNNNNNNNNNNNNNNNNNNNNNNNNNNNNNNNNNNNNNNNNNNNNNNNNNNNNNNNNNNNNNNNNNNNNNNNNNNNNNNNNNNNNNNNNNNNNNNNNNNNNNNNNNNNNNNNNNNNNNNNNNNNNNNNNNNNNNNNNNNNNNNNNNNNNNNNNNNNNNNNNNNNNNNNNNNNNNNNNNNNNNNNNNNNNNNNNNNNNNNNNNNNNNNNNNNNNNNNNNNNNNNNNNNNNNNNNNNNNNNNNNNNNNNNNNNNNNNNNNNNNNNNNNNNNNNNNNNNNNNNNNNNNNNNNNNNNNNNNNNNNNNNNNNNNNNNNNNNNNNNNNNNNNNNNNNNNNNNNNNNNNNNNNNNNNNNNNNNNNNNNNNNNNNNNNNNNNNNNNNNNNNNNNNNNNNNNNNNNNNNNNNNNNNNNNNNNNNNNNNNNNNNNNNNNNNNNNNNNNNNNNNNNNNNNNNNNNNNNNNNNNNNNNNNNNNNNNNNNNNNNNNNNNNNNNNNNNNNNNNNNNNNNNNNNNNNNNNNNNNNNNNNNNNNNNNNNNNNNNNNNNNNNNNNNNNNNNNNNNNNNNNNNNNNNNNNNNNNNNNNNNNNNNNNNNNNNNNNNNNNNNNNNNNNNNNNNNNNNNNNNNNNNNNNNNNNNNNNNNNNNNNNNNNNNNNNNNNNNNNNNNNNNNNNNNNNNNNNNNNNNNNNNNNNNNNNNNNNNNNNNNNNNNNNNNNNNNNNNNNNNNNNNNNNNNNNNNNNNNNNNNNNNNNNNNNNNNNNNNNNNNNNNNNNNNNNNNNNNNNNNNNNNNNNNNNNNNNNNNNNNNNNNNNNNNNNNNNNNNNNNNNNNNNNNNNNNNNNNNNNNNNNNNNNNNNNNNNNNNNNNNNNNNNNNNNNNNNNNNNNNNNNNNNNNNNNNNNNNNNNNNNNNNNNNNNNNNNNNNNNNNNNNNNNNNNNNNNNNNNNNNNNNNNNNNNNNNAUCUCUACACGUUAUAUUAAUUUAUCGGAUUUUAAUAUGUGGUCUAAACAAGAAUUCGCGUCUCUAUGUAAUUAUUGAUCAUGAAAUCAUUGAAUAAUAGGCUUGAAAAUUCAAAGUAUUGAGAAUAUGAUUAAAAUUCACACAUGUAAUUAUGACGAACAAGAAUAUCAAAUUAAAGAAAUAAAGGUUCCCAAAUCAGUUACAUUGUUCACCCUAAAAUUAUAUUAGCUACUCAUAGCAAUGAAAGAAACACAUGAAGUUAUUAUGAAAGAUAUCACCGGGUUUUGAAUAAGAAUGUAGAAUAAGAAAUCAAUCUUGCACCAAGAUCUUCUUCCCUUUCCAAUUUAUGCUUCAACCCUUGAAUUGCUUGUUGUUUUGUUCUCUUUAAUUUUUCUCUUUAAUCUCCAAAUGUGUCUCUUCCUCUUAAUAUGUGAAUCCUCCCUCAAGUAUGAGAAAAUUUGCUUUUAUAUGUGCUUGCUGUGUGUAGAAGGUAGGAUUUUCAUCAGGACUCCAAAGUGGGCCAAAAUUUUGCUUAGUUUACGAAUUGGUGAAUGCAGUGCCGCAUCAAGAAUAAGUGGUGGUGCUGCGACGCCACUUCGCUACUUUUCGAACAGACAUCACCUCAUUCAGUAUUUUUAUCAUAACUUUCUCUUCUGAUAUCCGACUGAGACGAUUCAAGUUUUGUUGGAAAGAUAACUCAAAAAACUACAACUUUUCUUCAGACAUCAUUCUCUAAUUCAAUCGCUAUGCUAAAAAUGGGUCUCAAUGUGAGAUUGAAAUUCUGGAGCGUAACUUUUCGGUUGUAAAUUGAUUUAGGAUCAUAUUUUACCUAAAUUUGAUCCAUUUAACAUUUUUCUUCAUCCAAUUGACUCCGAACACUCUUGAACUUCAUCAUGAGGUCCAACACAACUUUUGAGUAUUUACACUUUAGUCCGCAAACUUUGGAUCUCUUACAACUUAGCCAUUUUCUCCAAUUUUGCCCACUUUUGCUUCUUCUUUCAAUUCCUUGUACCGUCAUUGAAUUUUACCUAUUCAACACAAAAUGUAAUAAUUUAGAAAAUAAUUCAUUUGAAAAGCAACUAAAUAUCAUCCUUUUAAAGGUUUGAAUAAGUGUAUAAAAUACACUUAUCAGUAGUACAAAGUGCAAGAAUAGAAUGAAGAUUUGUUGUUUUUUUUUUUUUUUUUUUUUUGGAUGAUCGUGGGUAUUCAAACCAACUUACGUGCACCUUGACUAAUUCCACGGGACCCUGAAAUUUACAGUCGGGUACUCAUUUUAGUAGUUCUAAGGGAAUUCGAACUAGUGACUAUUAAUAAAUAUAUUCAAAGCCCAACCACUGAGCUACCCCUCAGAGUUAAACAAGGAGGGAUUUGUAUUAGAGAUAUUUGCAUCAAGGUGGAUUACAAUAUAUUAUUUUACAACAGUGUCUGAUAUUAUACCAUACCAGAAAAAUAUUCAUAUAUUAAAAAAAUUAUAACAAUAUUUUAUUUAUAAAUACUUUUCUUGUAAUAAAUAUUCAUUUUUUUCCCUUUUACGUUUGAUAAACUUUUAUGUCAUUCUUUAGUUUUCAGUUAUUUUCUAUUUUUUAACCGAAUGUUUUAUUUACAAGGGGAAUUUUUUCUCAUAGUAUAUUUUUACUUUUCAUAUGAUUGCAUAAUUGAGACAAAUGAAAAAUAAAAAAUAAAUAAAUCAUAUCUUUAUUUCAUUGAGUAUGACAUGUUAUCUAAAUUCUUGAUUAGGCCCUUGUACCCCAUUUUUCUUCCGAAAAAAAAAUUAUUAUUUUUCAAAAGAUAGGUCGUUCCCUUUUUAUUUUAUUUUUUUUAUGAUGAAAUGUCGAAGCCUUUCUAUCACACUAGGGAAUUUAAUUUUCAAAUUAUGCUUCUAUUUUGUAGAAAUUAAAAUUAAGAUUUUAAUCUGAAUCAAAGUCAACAAUUGAUUUUAACCACAUAUUUUAUGGGUUUCACAACUUUUCAAUAAUACAUUUAUCAUCUUUUAUUAAAAUCUAAUUUUAAUAUCAGACAGGGAUCAAAAUUGUGCAUUUUGUAUUAAAUCCCAUUUUGCAUCUAAUGAAAGUAAAUUAUGUGAACCGUAAAGGGUAAAAUUGACAAUUUGGAUGAGCUAUUUAUGUAUCCUACUCAACCUACUGUAAAUUUUGUCGGCCUCAUUUUUUUACUUCUAAAGUCAGCAUCAUAUCCUACGGCCUAAUUUGUACCACAAUUGGUCUCCCAAGUCUUUUGCCUAAAUAAAUAUAUACACUACAAUCACAAGUGAACAGAAAUUAUAAUAAGUGAAGUAAUGUCAAAUUUGGAUUUUACCCUUUGUUCAAGUGAGGUUUUACAAGUGUUGAGUACCAUAAUUACCAUAAAUGUAAAAAUUUUUAAACCUUCAUGAAUUACUGAAUAAAUGUUAGAAAAGAAACUAAACAAUAUAGAAACUUUUUGUUCAUCUAAAAUAAUAAAAUAAGAAAGGAAAUUAUUUAUGUUAUAGAUAUAUUAUAUAUAAGAAGCAUGAUUCCUAAAUGUUUAUAAAUAAAAUAGAAUUAAGUGGUGGAUAAGUAGAUUUUACUUAUAGGUACGAAGAAUUCAAUCAAGAAGCUAGCAGAUCAGCAUAAAAUAAAGUUAAGGCACGAAUACCACCAUCUAUUCAAGAAUGACUGAAUAAUAUUCUUCCAUAUUAAUGUUUUAUAUUGUUACUUCUAUAAGAAAAAUAAUACAAUAAUCUUUUAUAAUAUUUUUACGAAAUAAUAAAUUUCAUUCAAGAAAACACAUCUUUCAAUUAGUACAUAUAAAAUAAAAUUUAAUGCUUUGUUAUACAAUUCCAAAUUAAGAGAAUACUCGUAUUUUCUUUGAAGAAAAAGUGUUUCUUUAUGAGCUCAAUUGAUAAAAUUUUGUGUCUUUCUUUCAACAUAAGAGAAAUUGUUUUUUUCUACCUUAACUUGAUUAGAGAUUUAUAAGCAAAAAGAUGAAUAAGUUUCACUAAUUUAGUUGACUAAAAGGGGAACACAUUAAGCUAAUGUUUAAUUUCAAUAAAUAUCACAUUUUCGUAGAUUUUGAUAAAAAUUGAUGGUAUGAGAGGUGGGAAAGUUAUGGAUCACAUGAAAUGAAUGGUUAUAAUUAAUUAUUGAGUUUGAUUUAGAUUUUAAUGCACUUUUUGUUAGAUGGGGCGGGACUAAAUUAGUUCGAAGAUUUGGUACUUGAUGCUAGUGUUGAUCUCAAUUUGAUAAAAACUUAGAGAAGACAACAAAAAUUAUUUCACAAUAUACUCAUUCCAAGUUUAAUAAAGUAUACAACACGAUACCGGUAAAUAAAGAUGGCUACAUUUUCACGAUGUAGUCCCCAAGCAAAAACUACAGUUUAUUUAAUUAAAGCCAGUUUAAUGUAGUCUCCAAGUAGAGAUCUACAGUUUAUUUAGCUCAACCAGCUUCACAGAUAGAUAAGUAAUUUAUUUGCCUGCUGUUGCAGCAAAGCAUCAAGCGGUUACUAUUUCCUUAAUGAAAGGCUCUUCGUUUGGGCAAAUUUUUCCGCAUGAACACCGGCCGUUAAAGGCUGAGCAGCAUCCUCCUGGAUAAUUCUGAAGCUUGCAGUAUUGUAUACAAAGUUCCACGUCACAAUGUCGACCUCGAGCAUCCUCCACAAGAGGACGACUCGUAAUACGUGGACAAGCUGCUGUGCAACGACACGGACCAAAUGGUCCUGGGCAGCAUGCUGGCUUACCAAAAUGUGCGCAAUAUUUUCUACAAAGAUUCCAGUUACAUCGUUUAGCAUCCACCACAAGAGGACCACUCAUAUCUGUUUAAAACAAGGAAAGAGUAUAAGAUACACAAACACAGUUUAAAAUAUAAUACAGUCCAAAGUAGACAAAUACGAAUGCUUUGCUAGCUUGCUAUGAAAAUUAAAGUUGUUCUGAUUAUUUCAAAUUUCGUAAAUUAACAUGUAUAUAGUAUGUAACAAGCUAUGGAGUUGAAUAAAUUACGAACCAGACGACAGGGAAACCAACAGUAGGAGGGACACUAUUGCAAAUGACCUCACAGAGAACUCCAUAAUUGAGAAAGAGAGAGAGAUAAU